rnacentral:lncRNA from 1 species
ACAACAACAACAGCAAGGCAUGCGUAUCUUUUUUCCACUAUCUCGACAACAACAUGUGGGUCAAGGUACUCUCGUCCAAGGCCAGGGCAUCAUCCAACCUCAACAACCAGCUCAAUUGGAGGCGAUCAGGUCAUUGGUGUUGCAAACUCUUCCAACCAUCUGCAAUGUGUAUGUCCCACCUGAGUGCUCCAACAUCAGGGCACCAUUUGCCAGCAUAGUCGCGGGGAUUGGUGGCCAAUGAAAAAAGCAAGAGCUAUACUAAUAGAUAGAUGGAUCCUCGUUGCUUAGCAGAUGCACCAAUCGAUGUAACGAUGACAAAUAAAGUGGCACGUACCAUCAUGUGUGACCCCGACCAGUGCUAGUUCAAGCUUGGGAAUAAAAGACAAACAAAGUUCUUGUUUGCCAGCAUUGAUUGUCAUUGUUCCAUUCACUGUGUAUUUAGUUGUUCAUCCCUAACCGCAGUUCUAGGCUUACACAUCAAUGGCUAUUUGCUCGUGCCGGCAGGUUCCUAUGUAAUCUACCGACUAAUGGUCGGCCUAUUGACCCAGUUUAUAGGCCGAUUGAUAUAUUAAUUGCUGCUCCCAAACUGACCGACCAGCUAUUAGUUACCAUUUUGCUGAACAUUGCACACAAUAAUAACUCAACAUAUUUUAAUGUCUAGAAGUAAAAGGGCCAUUUUAGCAGCAAAACAAGCGCCUGAUUAGGAACCAUCCAGCACUUUAAAUGUUCACCUAGAUAUUUCUACGUUGAUGCAAUUUUGAGAUUGGUGGCACCGAAACAUUCCUCAAAGCAAUUCUUUAUGGGACUCCAAAGAGGUGAAAAUAAAGUAAAGUUGCCACAUGGUAAAAUAUAAAUCAUGCGGCGAGCAAGAGCAAAUAUUGAGUCAUGAUAGCAAGCGCCAAACAUGCCAUUAAACUCUUCAUAUGGUUCCGUGCAGAGAAGGGGGAAAAUUGUUGGGGAACGUAGUCAUUUCAAAAAAAAUCCUACGCACACGCAAGAUCAUGGUGAUGCAUAGCAAUGAGAGGGGAGAGCAUCGUCCACCUACCCUCGUAGACCGUAAGCGGAAGCGUUAUGACAACGCGGUUGAUGUAGUCGUACAUCUAUAUGAUCGACCGAUCCUAGUACCGAACGUACGGCACCUCCGCAAUCUGCACACGUUCAGCUCGGUGACGUCCCAUGAACUCACGAUCGAGUAGAUCUUCAAGGGAGAGUUCCGUCAGCACGACGGCGUGAUGACGGUGUUGAUGAAGCUACCGACGCAGGGCUUCGCUUAUGCACUACUAUGAUAUGACCGAGGUGGAUUAUGGUGGAGGGGGCACCGCACACGGCUAAAGAUCAAUGAUCAACUUGUGUGUCUUGGGGUGCCCCCUGCCCCCGUAUAUAAAGGAGAAAGGGGGGAGGCGGCCGGCCAAGGAGGAGGGCGCGCCAAGGGGGGAGUCCUACUUAGGACUCCUCUUUCCUAUUAGGAGUAGGAGAAGGGGGAAAGGAAGGAGAGGAGGAGAAGGAAGGACGGGGCACCGCCCCUUCCCCUAGUCCAAUUCAGACUAGGCUUGGGGGGGGGGGCGGCCCAGCCCUAGCCAGCCCCUCUCUCUCCCUCUCUCUCCCUGAAGCCCAUUAACGCCCAUAAGAUCCCCGGGGGGUUCCGGUAACCUCUCGGUACUGUGGUAUUUAUCCGGUGUCCGAAUAUAACCUUCCAAUAUAUCAAUCUUUAUGUCUCGACCAUUUUAAGACUCCUCGUCAUGUCCGUGAUCAUAUCUGGGACUCCGAACUACCUUCGGUACAUCAAAACACAUAAACUCAUAAUACCGAUCGUCACCGAACGUUAAGCGUGCGGACCCUAUGGGUCCGAGAACUAUGUAGACAUGACCGAGACACGUCUCCGGGUUUAACCAAUAGCGGAACCUGGAUGCUCAUAUUGGCUCCUACAUAUGUUGGGGAACGUUGCAUAAAAUAAACUUUUUCCUAUGUUCACCAAGAUCAAUCUAUGAGUUCAUCUAGCAACGAGAGAGGGGAGUGCAUCUACAUACCCUUGUAGAUCACGAGCGGAAGCGUUCAAGAGAACGGGGUUGAGGGAGUCGUACUCGUCGUGAUCCAAAUCACCGGAGAUCCUAGCGCCGAACGAAUGGCACCUCCGCGUUCAACACACGUACGGUUAGCGUGACGUCUCCUCCUUCUUGAUCCAGCAAGGGGGAAGGAGAGGUUGAUGAAGAUCCAGCAGCACGACGACGCGGUGGAGGAUGCAGCAGAGUUCCGGCAGGGCUUCGCCAAGCGACUACGGGAGGAGGAGGUGUAGCAAGGGGGGAGGGAGGCGCCAAGACUUCAGGGUGCAGCUGCCCUCCCCUCCCCCUCCUUUAUAUAGGCCCCCUGGAGGGUGGCGCCGGCCCUGGAGAUGGGAUCUCCCAAGGGGGCGGCGGCUAGGGGGGUGGAGUGCCCCCCAAGGCAAGUGGAGGCGCCCCCCCCCCCCACCCUAGGGUUUCCAACCCUAGGCGCAGGGGGGCCCAAGGGGGUCGCACCAGCCCACCAGGGGCUGGUCCCCUCCCCACUUCAGCCCACGGGGCCCUCCGGGAUAGGUGGCCCCACCCGGUGGACCCCCGGGACCCUUCCGGUGGUCCCGGUACAAUACCGGUGACCCCCGAAACUCUCCCGAUCACCGAAACUGCACUUCCUAUAUAUAAUUCUUUAUCUUCGGACCAUUCCGGAACUCCUCGUGACGUCCGGGAUCUCAUCCGGGACUCCGAACAACUUUCGGUUUGCUGCAUACUCAUAUCUCUACAACCCUAGUGUCACCGAACCUUAAGUGUGUAGACCCUACGGGUUCGGGAGACACAUAGACAUGACCUAGAUGGCUCUCCGGUCAAUAACCAACAGCGGGAUCUGGAUACCCAUGUUGGCUCCCACAUGCUCCUCGAUGAUCUCAUCGGAUGAACCAUGAUGUUGAGGAUUCAAGCAACCCCGUAUUCAAUUCCCUUUGUCAAUCGGUAUUUUACUUGCCUGAGAUUCGAUCAUCGGUAUCCCAAUACCUCGUUCAAUCUCGUUACCGGCAAGUCACUUUACUCGUACCGUAAUGCAUGAUCCUGUGACCAGACACUUGGUCACUUUGAGCUCAUUAUGAUGAUGCACUACCGAGUGGGCCCAGAGAUACCUCUCCGUCAUACGGAGUGACAAAUCCCAGUCUCGAUCCGUGUCAACCCAACAGACACUUUCAGAGAUACCUGUAGUGCACCUUUAUAGUCACCCAGUUACGUUGUGACGUUUGGUACACCCAAAGCACUCCUACGGUAUCCGGGAGUUACACGAUCUCAUGGUCUAAGGAGAAGAUACUUGACAUUGGAAAAGCUCUAGCAAACGAACUACACGAUCUUGUGCUAUGCUUAUGAUUGGGUCUUGUCCAUCACAUCAUUCUCCUAAUGAUGUGAUCCCGUUAUCAAUGACAUCUAAUGUCCAUAGUCAGGAAACCAUGACUAUCUAUUGAUCAACGAGCUAGUCAACUAGAUGCUCACUAGGGACAUAUUAUGGUCUAUGUAUUCACACGUGUAUUACGAUUUCCGGAUAAUACAAUUAUAGCAUGAAUAAAGACAAUUAUCAUGAACAAGGAAAUAUAAUAAUGAUCCUUUUAUUAUUGCCUCUAGGGCAUAUUUCCAAAAGUCUCCCACUUGCACUAGAGUCAAUAAUCUACUUACAUUGUGAUGAAUCGAACACCCAUAGAGUUCUGGUGUUCAUCAUGUUUUGCUUGCGGAAGAGGUUUAGUCAACGGAUCUGCGACAUUCAGAUCCAUAUGUACUUUGCAAAUAUCUAUGUCUCCAUCUUGAACAGUUUCACGGAUGGAGUUGAAACGAUGCUUGACGUGCCUGGUCUUCUUGUGAAACCUGGGCUCCUUGGCAAGGGCAAUAGCUCCAGUGUUGUCACAGAAGAGAGUGAUUGGCCCCGACGCAUUGGGUAUGACUCCUAGGUCGGUGAUGAACUCCUUCAUCCAUAUUGAUUCAUGCGCUGCCUCCGAGGCUGCCAUGUACUCCGCUUCACAUGUAGAUCCCGCCACGACGCUCUGCUUGCAACUGCACCAGCUUACUGCUCCACGAUUCACCAUAUACACGUAUCCGGUUUGUGACUUAGAGUCAUCCACAUCUGUGUCGAAGCUAGCAUCGACGUAACCCUUUAUGACGAGCUCUUCGUCACCUCCAUAAACAAGAAACAUGUCCUUUAUCCUUUUCAGGUACUUCAGGAUAUUCUUGACCGCUAUCCAGUGUUCCUUGCCGGGAUUACUUUGGUACCUUCCUACCAAACUUACGGCAAGGUUUACAUCAGGUCUGGUGCACAGCAUGGCAUACAUAAUAGAUCCUAUGGCUGAGGCAUAGGGGAUGACACUCAUCUCUUCUUUAUCUUCUGCCGUGGUCGGGCAUUGAGCCGAGCUCAACUUCACACCUUGCAAUACAGGCAAGAACCCUUUCUUGGACUGAUCCAUUUUGAACUUCUUCAAUAUCUUAUCAAGGUAUGUGCUUUGUGAAAGACCUAUGAGGCGUCUCGAUCUACCCCUAUAGAUCUUGAUGCCUAAUAUGUAAGCAGCUUCUCCAAGGUCCUUCUUUGAAAAACACUUAUUCAAGUAGGCCUUAAUGCUGUCCAAAAGUUCUAUAUCAUUUCCCAUCAAAAGUAUGUCAUCUACAUAUAAUAUGAGAAAUGCUACAAAGCUCCCACUCACUUCCUUGUAAACGCAGGCUUCUCCAUAAGUCUGCAUAAACCCAAACGCUUUGAUCAUCUCAUCAAAGCGAAUGUUCCAACUCCGAGAUGCUUGCACCAGCCCAUAAAUGGAUCGCUGGAGCUUUCAUACCUUGUUAGCAUUCUUAGGAUCGACAAAACCCUCCGGCUGCAUCAUAUACAGUUCUUCCUUAAGAUGUCCGUUAAGGAAUGCCGUUUUGACGUCCAUCUUCCAUAUCUCAUAAUCAUAGUAUGCGGCAAUUGCUAACAUGAUUCGGACGGACUUCAGCUUCGCUACGGGAGAGAAAGUCUCAUCAUAGUCAACCCCUUGAACUUGUCGAUAACCCUUAGCGACAAGUCAAGCUUUAUAGAUGGUAACAUUACCAUCCGCGUCUGUCUUCUUCUUAAAGAUCCAUUUGUUUUCUAUCGCUCACCGAUCAUCGGGCAAGUCUGUCAAAGUCCAUACUUUGUUUUCAUCCAUGGAUUCUAUCUCCGAUUGCAUGGCUUCAAGCCAUUUGUUGGAAUCUGGGCCUGCCAUCGCUUCUUCAUAGUUCGAAGGUUCACCGUUGUCUAACAACAUGAUUUCCAGGACAGGGUUGCCAUACCACUUUGGUGUGGAACAUGUCCUUGUGGACCUAUGAAGUUCAGUAGCAACUUGAUCCGAAGUACUUUGAUCAUCAUCAUUAAUUUCCUCUCCAGUCGGUGUAGGCACCACAGCAACAUUUUCCUGAGCUGCACUACUUUCCGGUUCAAGAGGUAGUACUUCAUCGAGUUCUACUUUCCUCCCACUUACUCCUUUCGAGAGAAACUCUUUUUCCAGAAAGGAUCCGUUCUUGGCAACAAAGAUCUUGCCCUCGGAUCUUAAGUAGAAGGUAUACCCAAUGGUUUCCUUAGGGUAUCCUAUGAAGACGCAUUUUUCCGACUUGGGUUCGAGCUUUUCAGGUUGAAGUUUCUUGACAUAAGCAUCGCAUCCCCAAACUUUUAGAAACGACAGCUUAGGUUUCUUCCCAAACCAUAAUUCAUACGGUGUCGUCUCAACGGAUUAAGACGGAGCCCUGUUUAAAGUGAAUGUAGCUGUCUCUAGAGCGUAUCCCCAAAAUGAUAACAGUAAAUCGGUAAGAGACAUCAUAGAUCGCACCAUAUCCAAUAGAGUGCGAUUACGAUGUUCGGACACACCGUUACGCUGAGGUGUUCCAGGCGGCGUGAGUUGUGGAAUGAUUCCACAUUUCCUUAAGUGCGUACCAAAUUCGUGACUUAAAUAUUCUCCUCCACGAUCUGAUCGUAGGAACUUUAUCUUUCGGUCACGUUGAUUCUCUACCUCAUUCUGAAAUUCCUUAAACUUUUCAAAGGUCUCAGACUUGUGUUUCAUCAAGUAGACAUACCCAUAUCUACUCAAGUCAUCAGUGAGAGUGAAAACAUAAUGAUAUCCUCCGCGAGCCUCAACGCUCAUUGGACCACACACAUCAGUAUGUAUGAUUUCCAAUAAGUUGGUUGCUCGCUCCAUUGUUCUGGAGAACAGAGUCUUGGUCAUUUUGCCCAUGAGGCAUGGUUCGCAUGUGUCAAAUGAUUCAUAAUCGAGAGACUCUAAAAGUCCAUCAUCAUGGAGCUUCUUCAUGCGCUUGACACCAAUGUGACCAAGGUGGCAGUGCCACACGUAUGUGGGACUAUCGUUACCAACUUUACAUCUUUUGGUAUUCACACUAUGAAUAUGUGUAACAUUACGUUCGAGAUUCAUUAAGAAUAAACCAUUGACCAUCGGGGCAUGACCAUAAAAUAUAUCUCUCAUAUAAAUAGAACAACCAUUAUUCUCGGAUUUAAAUGAGUAGCCAUCUCGUAUUAAACGAGAUCCAGAUACAAUGUUCAUGCUCAAACUUGGCACUAAAUAACAAUUAUUGAGGUUUAAAACUAAUCACGUGGGUAAAUGUAGAGGCAGCGUGCCGACGGCGAUCACAUCGACCUUGGAACCAUUCCCGACGCGCAUCGUCACCUCGUCCUUCGCCAGUCUCCGCUUAUUCCACAGCUCCUACUAUGAGUUACAAAUAUGAGCAAUGGCACCGGUAUCAAAUACCCAGGAGUUACUAUGAGUACUGGUAAGGUACACAUCAAUUACAUGUAUAUCACAUAUACCUUUAGUGUUUUCGGCCUUCUUGUCCGCUAAGUAUUUGGGGCAGUUCCGCUUCCAGUGACCCUUCCCUUUGCAAUAAAAGCACUCAGUCUCAGGCUUGGGUCCAUUCUUUGACUUCUUCCCGGCAACUGGCCUACCGGGUGCGGCAACAUCCUUGUCGUCCUUCUUGAAGUUCUUCUUACCCUUCCCUUCUUGAACUUGGUGGUUUUAUUGACCAUCAACACUUGAUGUUCUUUCUUGAUUUCUACUUCUGUUGACUUUAGCAUUGAAAAUACUUCAGGAAUAGUUUUCACCAUCCCCUGCAUAUUGUAGUUCAUCACAAAGCUCUUGUAGCUUGGUGGGAGCGACUGAAGGAUUCUGUCAGUGACCGCCUUGUCCGGGAGGUUGAUGUCCAGCUGGGACAGGCAGUUGUGCAACCCAGACAUUUUGAGUAUGUGCUCACUGACAGAACUAUUUUCCUCCAUCUUACAACUAUAGAACAUGUCGGAGACUUCAUAUCUUUCGACCCGGGCAUGAGCUUGGAAAACCAGUUUCAGCUCCUUGAACAUCUCAUAUGCUCCGUGUUGGUCAAAAUGCUUUUGGAUCCUCGGUUCUAAGCUGUAAAGCAUGCCGCACUGAACGAGGGAGUAAUCAUCAGCACGUGACUGCCAAGCGUUCAUAAUGUCUUGGUUCUCUGGGAUGGGUGCAUCACCUAGUGGUCCUUCUAGGACAUAUGCUUUCUUAGCAGCUAUGAGGAUGAUCCUCAGGUUCUGGACCUAGUCCGUAUAGUUGCUUCCAUCAUCUUUCAGCUUGCUUUCUCUAGGAACGCGUUGAAGUUCAUGUUGACAUGAGCGUUGGCCAUUUGAUCUACAAGACAUUUUUGCAAAGAUUUUAGACUAAGUUCAUGAUAAUUAAGUUCAUCUAAUCAAAUUAUUUAAUGAACUCCCACUCAGAUUUGACAUCCCUCUAGUCAUCUAAGUGUUACACGAUCCGAGUCGACUAGGCCGUGUUCGAUCAUCACGUGAGACAGACUAGUCAUCAUCGGUGAACAUCUCGAUGUUGAUCGUAUCUUCCAUACGACUCAUGUUCGACCUUUCGGUCUCUGUGUUCCGAGGCCAUGUCUGUACAUGCUAGGCUCGUCAAGUUUAACCUAAGUGUUUUGCAUGUGUAAAACUGUCUUACACCCGUUGUAUGUGAACGUAGGAAUCUAUCACACCGGAUCAUCACGUGGUGCUUCGAAAUGACGAACUUUAGCAACGACGCACAGUUAGGGAGAACACUUUCUUGAAAUUAUUAUAAGGGAUCAUCUUAUUUACUACCGUCGUUCUAAGUAAACAAGAUGCAUAAACAUAAUAAACAUCACAUGCAAUUAUAUAGUAGUGACAUGAUAUGGCCAAUAUCAUAUAGCUCCUUUGAUCUCAAUCUUCGGGGCUCCAUGAUCAUCUUUGUCACCGGCAUGACACCAUGAUCUCCAUCAUCAUGAUCUCCAUCAUCGUGUCUCCAUGAAGUUGCUCGCCAACUAUUACUUCUACCACUAUGGCUAACGGUUUAGCAAUAAAGUAAAGUAAUUACAUGGCGUUAAAUCAUUGACACACAGGUCAUACAAUAAUUAAGACAACUCCUAUGGAUCCUGCCGGUUGUCAUAUUCAUCGACAUGCAAGUCGUGAUUCCUAUUACAAGAACAUGAUCUCAUACAUCACAAUAUAUCAUUCAUCAUUCAUCACAACUUUUGGCCAUAUCACAUCACAAGGCAAUUGCUGCAAAAACAAGUUAGACGUCCUCUAAUAGUUGUUGCAUCUUUUACGUCGCUGCAAUAGGGUUCUAGCAAGAACGUUUUCUUACCUACGAAAAAGCCACAACGUGAUUUGUCAACUUCUAUUUACCCUUCAUAAGGACCCUUUUCAUCGAAUCCGCUCCAACUAAAGUGGGAGAAACAGACACCCGCUAGCCACCUUAUGCAAGUAGUGCAUGUCAGUCGGUGAAACCUGUCUCAUGUAAGCGUACGUGUAAGGUCGGUCCGGGCCGCUUCAUCCCACAAUACCCUGAAGCAAAAUAAGACUAGUAGCGGUAAGAAAGUUGACAACAUCUACGCCCACAACAGAUUUGUGUUCUACUCGUGCAAUAGAGAACUACGCAUAGACCUAGCUCAUGAAGCCACUGUUGGGGAACGUUGCAUAAAAUAAAAAAUUUCCAACGUUCACCAAGAUCAAUCUAUGAGUUCAUCUAGCAACAAGAGAGGGAGUGCAUCUACAUACCCUUGUAGAUCGCGAGUGGAAGCGUACAAGAGAAUGGGGUUGAGGGAGUCAUACUCGUCGUGAUCCAAAUCACCGGAGAUUCUAGCGCCGAACGGACGGCACCUCCGCGUUCAACACACGUAUGGUCAGCGUGACGUCUCCUCCUUCUUUAUCCAGCAAGGGGAAAGGAGAGGUUGAUGAAGAUCCGGCAACACGACGGCGUGGUGGUGGAUGCAGCAGAGUUCCGGCAGGGCUUCGCCUAGUGACUACGGGAGGAGGAGGUGUAGAAAGGGGGGAGGGAGGCGCCAAGACUUCAGGGUGCGGCUGCCCUCCCCUCCCCCUCCUUUAUAUAGGCCCCUUGGGGGGGAGCCGGCCCUGGAGAUGGGAUAUCCAAAGGGGGCGGCGGCCAGGGGGGUGGAGUGCCCCCCAAGGCAAGUGGAGGCGCCCCCCCACCCUAGGGUUUCCAACCAUAGGCGCAGAGGGGGGCCAAGGGGGCACACCAGCCCACCAGGGGCUGGUCCCCUCCCCACUUCAGUCCACGGGGCCCUCCAGGAUAGGUGGCCCCACCCGGUGGACCCCCGGGACCCUUCCGGUGGUCCCGAUACAAUACCGGUGACCCCCGAAACUCUCCCGAUGGCCGAAACUGGACUUCCUAUAUAUAAUUUUAUCUUUGGACCAUUCCGGAACUCCUCGUGACGUCCGGGAUCUCAUCCGGGACUCCGAAAAACUUUCGGUUUGCUGCAUACUCAUAUCUCUACAACCCUAGUGUCACCGAACCUUAAGUGUGUAGACCCUACGGGUUCGGGAGACACGUAGACAUGACCGAGACGGCUCUUCGGUCAAUAACCAACAUCGGGAUCUGGAUACCCAUGUUGGCUCCCACAUGCUCCUCGAUGAUCUCAUCGGAUGAACCAUGAUGUCGAGGAUUCAAGCAACCCCGUAUUCAAUUCCCUUUGUCAAUCGAUAUUUUACUUGCCCGAGAUUCGAUCGUCGGUAUCCCAAUACCUCAUUCAAUCUCGUUACCGGCAAGUCACUUUAAUCGUACCAUAAUGCAUGAUCCCGUGACCAGACACUUGGUCACUUUGAGCUCAUUAUGAUGAUGCACUACCGAGUGGGCCCAGAGAUACCUCUCUGUCAUACGGAGUGACAAAUCCCAGUCUCGAUCCGUGUCAACCCAACAGACACUUUCGGAGAUACCUAUAGUGCACCUUUAUAGUCACCCAGUUACGUUAUGACCUUUGGUACACCCAAAGCUAUCAGGACCCCGACUCAAUGCCACAUCGAUCUAGCAUGUAACACCUCAUAUCACUUUGCGGCCUCACGCACGGUAUUCCCACGGGUGUCGUCUUACCUUUGCCCGGGACCGUUUGCACCUUUUGGCACACGUAUAUGAUAGUGUUGCUGGCAUCCAUAUGGUAAGGAGCCCGGGCUGACAUGGCUAGUCGUAAACCCAAAGUGGCACAGACUUACAGGGACAGGCAUCCAUGACCCAGCAUCGAACGUGUCGGUCAUCAGCAAGUGAAUCCGGGCUUUAGCACCGGGCUAGCAGGACUCCGGUAAACCGUGCUGCAGCGGGCUAACAGGACUCCGGUAUUCAUCGCAUGACAUUUCGCCGAAGGGACAGACACAGGAACGAAGAAGGCACAUGCCGGCCAGCCUAAGUGUUCCGGAGCAGUAGCAAGCUACCAUGGCUCAGUGGAAGCACUAGGAGACAUUUCCCGGUAAGAGAGGCUACUAAGGAUAAACAACUAGAUAGUCAGAUCCCACACAUACCAAGCAUUUCAAUCAUACACACAAUAUGCUCGAUAUGUGCAAAUACAACAAGGCAUCACAACAUGACUCUACAACACAAGUACUUUAUUUAAAGGCUCAGAGAGCCAUACAUAGUAUACACACAAGUACGGGUCACAUGACCCACAUUCAAGUAAUACAAGCAUACAAGCCAACAGCGGAAGUAACUUGUCUGAGUAGAGACAACUAGUAAAAUAAAAGAGGCCUGGGUAAGCCUAGCUAUACUACAUGGUCCUUCACAAGCUCAGGAUCACCACCUGGGCCUCAGUCUACUCAUCGAUGUCAACGUCUACGAAGAACCUGUCAGAAGGGGUUGUAGCAUCUUCUGUAAAAUGUAAAUUAGAGCAACAUGAGUACAAAGGUACUCAGCAAGACUUACAUCAGAUCCUACAUACAUGCACAUUAUCAAGAAGGGUUGGUGGGGUUAUUGCAGCAAGCCAGCUUCGACUCUUGGCUAAGCUAUCCUAUGAGACUCCAACUUGAAAUGGUUUUGCACACACGAGUCCACUACUCACCACUUCAAUACACAACCGAGGAUUCACCUCCGUCUUCCUACGGAAGAGCCAUCCUCGGCACUCACAAUUAUCUUGAGGCUUUUAGUAGUUUCCAUUUACUUGUCUAUGAACUGUUAUAGGCAACACAGAAGUCCUUUACCGCGGACACGGCUAUUCGAAUAGAUCAUUUAUAACCCUGCAGGGGUGUACUUCUUCAUACAUGUUUCCACCACUUAGCAUCUGCACACGACAUGUGCUCGGCAGACUUCAAGCGAAAGCGAAAGCCUAAACACUCAAGUCUCUAGUCCAGGUUUAUCGCCUAUUCAGGUUCCAUCCGCAGGGAGUCCGUCCGAGGUUUCCACAUACGGCCCCGAACGAUGUGUAUAGGGUUCCGUGACACCAAACAGGCGCCCGGUAUACCCGGCCACGUGCCUACCGCAUCACAGCCCACCCCUUCGAUCAGCGUUGCGCACGACCUCCAGCAUACUACAAACACCAGAAACUACUUGCAACUCCUGGACAGAGGACAAGGGUGAUUAAGAAGUCGAGCAGGGUCAUAUUUCAGGGCCCAAUGCAUGGUAGUAGCUGAACCAUGGAUCACAAACACAGAACUCAGUUCCUGAGGACGGCUUCAAUGAGACAAUCCACCAUGUACUCCUACAUGGCCUCUCAUAGCUACCUUUACCAAAUCCUGUUCACACACUUAGCUCACACUCAGUAGAAUAUGUUCACGCACCUCUGAUUCAUCCCCGAUGAAUCAGACCUGACUCAACUCUAAGCAAUAGCAGGCAUGACAAACAAACAUGAAUGAGUAGGCACAACAGGGCUCAAACAACUCCUACUCAUGCUAGUGGGUUUCAUCUAUUUACUGUGGCAAUGAUAGGUCCUGCAGAGGAUAAAGGGGUUCAGCUACCGCAGCAAGUAACAGAUGAAUCAUUGCUGUCCUAAUGCAGUAAAAGAGAGCAGGAGCGAGAGAGUAGGAUUGUAUCGAAAUGAACAAGGGGGUUUUGCUUGCCUGGCACUUCUGAAGAUAGUAUACUUCUUCAUCGGUGUCAGCGAUCACAACGUCGGUACAACGUCUACCGAGGGGGAACAACACUGGCAAACAGAGAAGAAACACGAUCAAUGCAAUGCACAAUAUGAUGCCUGCUAUGACAUGGCAAUAUGAAUGUGUUUUGGGCUAAUGCAAGCUAGAACAGAUUGAGAUGAGUCCAUUUGAACCAAAGAUUCAAAUGCAAACCCAUUUUAAGAGGUCAUAAUAGUGUAUUAACUUGUUUCACCUAAACAGCAAGGUUAAUGUGUUCUAACAUGCAUGAAACCAGUGCAGAUGGAUAGAUUGGAUUUUUUUGAUCAUUUUUCAUAUAUAAAUUAUUUCAUUCUAAGUUACGGUUAAAUUUCUAUGAAUUUUAGAAGUUUAGAGCAUUUUCUGGAAUUUCCUGUAUAAAAAUAAAUCUAGAAAAUACUUAUUGCGUCAGCAUUGCGUCACUCUGACGUCAGCAGUCAACGAGGCCGGUCCAGGUCAAACCUGACGUGUGGGGUCCACACAUCAGUGACACGGUUAACCAACAGGGUUAAUUAAAAUUAAACUAAACCUAAUCUAGUUUAGUUAAGGCCUGGGCCCACAUGUCAGAGGCUAACCUAACUAACUAAGUUAAUUACCGCUCAUUAAUCUAUCGCUUAAUUAAGCAGGGGCCUGGCCCACACGUCAAUGAGUCAGGGGGAAGUCAAACCCCGGUCAAACCCGCCGGACCUGGUCCACGGCUCGUCGCCGGCGACGACAGAGACAACGAGGCGGCUCGGGAAUGCUCUACAGGGCACCGUUUUACUCGUGGUUUGCGGCUACGGCUAGCUAGCAAUGCGGCGCAUCUAAUGGAGCGAAUGGGUGGAGCUGGGGUGGCCUGAGCCGACGGCGGCGAGCUCCAAGGCGGCGGCCGGAGUUCGGGCAAUGACGGGUUUGGCGCCACAGUGCAUGGGAGGAGGAGCUGGUGGGCGCUACGGGCUCUUGGGGGUGCACUGGGUGUAGUGACGCGCUCGGUUUGGACGGAGGUGAACUAAAAUGACGACAGCGACAAGUCUGGCACCAGUGAGGUUUCGGUCUCGACGGAAACGAGGGCUACGAUGAGCUAAUGGACAUGUGAGUAGGGGGGUCAGUAAAGGAGCUUACGGCGAGUGCAGAGGUGGCCUCGGCGUGCUCGGGGAAGCACUGGAGCGAGCGGUGCGGCGAGAGGGAUCUCCGGCGGCCGGUGACGAAGAUGAUCAAGAUGGCGUCAAUCCAGGGCCUCCGGCGAUGCGUGGCUAGACGGAGAGGACGAGGGAGGCGUGGCGAUGCUCGUGGACACGUCGGAGAGGCUCGGGGUUGGCUGCGGCUGCGGCUAUGGCGAACGGCGGCGGCGGUGGCGUUCGGUGGUGAGAGGGAGAGAGAGUAGAGGAGGGGGAGGAGCAUGGGGAGAGUGAGAGAGAGCCACAGGGGUUGCGUGUCGACGUCCAUGGCAUCCAGAGGGACGUCGGGAGGCGGUGGAAAGCUGGAGGUGGCCGAGGGGCGUGGGCGUGAAUGGCGGCCACACGCCUCUCAUCCUACUGGCGAGAGGUGGGAGAUGACUGGCAGAUGGGCCUGGUGGGCUGCUACAGUGCCAGGCCGGCCAGGUAAGCGCCAGGUAUUCUCUCUCUCUCUCUCUUUUGUUAAUGUUUUUCUAUUUUUCUGUAACUUCAGGGCUUUAUUAAAAAUGCCAGGGCAUUUCCAAAAAUCAUGAAACUAAUCAUGGCUACUGUUUAGAAUAUAUCCAACAGUAAACAUUUUAGUUUAUGAUUAUUUGAGCAUUUAAAAUAUUUUAUAGCACUUAAAUGCCCAAAUGCAAAUACUAUAGGAUUUAAUUUAGAAAUCCAGAAUGGCCUAGAAAUAUGUGCAUGACAUUUGGCAGAGGUUUUCACCUUUGACCGAAAUCAUGAACUUUUCUAAAGGGCAUUUGGGAUCACUAAAAAUAUUAUUUUUUUGAACCUAGUUGAAUUCAUUUGGUGCUAGGGUUUCAACAAUCCCCAUUUCAAGUUUCAUGAAAUUUAAACAUGAUGCAUGGAUGCAAAGUCACUAGUUACGAGCAAACUCUAGGGCUGUGAUAACUCACCCCCACUAAACAAGAAUCUCGUCUUGAGAUUCAAGACGUGAGGUAAGAAGACAAAGGGGGCACAAAACCAACACAAUCUUCAUGAUCCAGGUUGCACCUCAUAAGGUUGUUGAUUCGUUGCAUACAUUGAUCUUGACAUCCUCGCUUUUGAGAUCUUCAUCCAUGCGAUGACGACGGAAAGGAACUCUACUAGGAUUGAUCUUCUCAAAGACCGAAUUAUACAAUCUCAACUCGCGGAGUGAGAUGUUGAAACACCUUGAGUUGAGACACAAAACACAUCGAGAGGGAUGGAAGAACAAACGACGGGGUUUGAUUUGGUGGGAAACAAUUCCACGCUUAGAAAGAUGGUGGAUGGUGUCAAGGUGGCGAGGAAAUAAUUGCCAUGAUCCCGUAACGGGGCACCUUAGGGAAGGUGACUCGUAGGUUUGUUACCUUAAGUGGCAAAAGGAAUUAUUUUUGAUUCAGAGAUCAUUGAAACUCUUUAUACCAGCCUAAGGCAAUUCACAACAAUCGUUUGGCAGAGUACAAAGGGAUGGCAUACCCGGACUAGAAUGGAUGAUGUGGACUACCUUGUUGAAGACAACGUAAUGAAUGCUUUUUGCUUAUCAUCGGAGGUGGAGGGGACCCAUGGUAGGACCACUUCUAAAGAUGAUCCUGAACAACAAUUGCUGAGAAGGGCAGUCCAAGGAGGAUUGGCACAAGGCGGUGCAAGCUGGGAACGAAAUGCAAAUGUCGGGAAUGUUCCAACCAUCAUAUCUGCCUGAGAUUCAGAUUUGGUUGGUGUUAGGACAUUCCAGACUCAUCAAGUCUAGGAAGAAAAAUGAAAGUUUGCAACACAAAUCGAUGAGAUGACGUCGCGAGAUUCUCGGGAGAUAAACUACGAUAGCAAGCUCCAAAACAUGAGCUGGUUCUGCUAAACAUGUGUGAACACGCUGUCCCAGACAAACAUGACCACAUAGUAGUCUUAAUAUAAAACACUACCGAGUUCAGGUGGGGAACCAUCAUUGCGGAUAACGAAGUCCUUGCAUAAGUCAUGAUUCUUAAGAAGGAGCUUCUUCUCCCUGAACAAAUCAAUCAGUGGCUUGGUGUGCUAGGGAUACGUAAGCAAUGAAGAUGAUCAGUCUAUCAGACCAUAGAAUACUUCGCACAUGCAUGACUGACUUGGGAUGAUCCCGGAGGGAACAAAACUAACUUUCUCAAAUUCACGGCGGCAACUUGCACCUAAUGCGCGUGAACUUGGAGAGAGUCACUUCUUACAUCCAAGCAUAUUCUUCAUGAACGAAACACGAAGAUAAUGCUUAUAUAGUUUCCAAUACUAGCUGAAGGUUCAACACGAAUCAUGGAAGAGAUAAAAAUGUUGCUGAUGGGCUCAACAACAAUUCAUCUAGGUUUCCAUAUAAGUGGAAUUCCACAAUUAUGUGAACAAGGCGAUAGCAUCGGUCAGACCAAAGGAUAUAACGGUGUAUGCCCGAGGAAACAACCACGGGUAAGACAACAUUACGAAUAUCGUUGGUUCUGAUUUGACUUGACAAUAGCCCAUGCUCAAAUCAGAGAUUGGUUACGAUAAUAGAUCCAACAACUGAUCACAGGGACCAAUCGAUGAAGAUAUCAUCUUUCUUCAACAUACAUACAAGAUAUCACUUAACAUGAACUAAGUCGGACAAGCUUUUAUCUUCCAACUCUCCAAGUUGAUGUAUAGCUUAACCAACUAGCUCAGGGGUAUCCAACACGGAUUCUUGGAGAAAGGGUGGUUUACAAGAAUAAACCAACUUGAUCAUGAACUCAACAUAGCGGUCAGGUGACGACCUAGUGAUACUUCCGAGAAGAUAAUCAGAAAAUCAGGAACCACCGGUAUGUUACUAAGCUCGAGAGAAAUCUUGCUUUUCAGGGCAAGACGAUAUGAUCAAAUGAGCAAGGGAUUGACAAAAUCCUAACUCAACGACCGAAGAGUGCACCGGAAAUAGGGACUAGAUAGCACAAUCAACCUUAGGGUGACGAUUCAAUAAUCAACACGCUAAGAAUGAGGUUAGCGUCCAUUUAACUACCAAGCAACGGAGUUGCUAGCAGUAUUGAUUUCACACACCAUGAUUCACUUGUCAGUAUUCCGGUUGCAACAACACGGAACCGAGGAGCGAAUGAUGAUGGCAAGAAGUAUCACUACUUCAAGAAUCCAUAAGGGAAGGUGCAAUUCUCAUGACGUUCCUGACAUAAAGUGGGUAAUACUUCAGGGUAGAACAGAACAAAAGCUGAAUUAGUAUUUGAUCUGCGAUUUACAACUGCUUUGACCCGAUCCUGGAUAUGGAUGAGGUACGGGAGUUUGUUUCUCCUAGUCAUUCUAGAAUAGAAUGGCUUGACAUACCACUAGAGUAAUAGGCAUCAAUGAACGAAUGCACGCAUACUCUUGACUAUCAAUUGAUAGAUGGGGUCGGAAUACAACUAAGGAGGGACAACCCAAACGAACUUACGAUCUUCUGAGUUGUGGAUGCACAUAUUAGUAUGUCGAGCAAAGAUCAACAUUUUUCUUCCGGAUAACCCAUGCGGAGAAGGUAGGACUGGCAGAUUCACAAUAUAGAAUCGAGAACGCAUCAAGAGCACUCUGGUUGUGAUCUUUCGGUUAAACGAGGAACUUCUGCCAUAAGUAGUUCAUGGUAUUUGGAAGAAGGAAAUACCACGGACCUCGAGGACUAAUGCAAAGGUUACUAAUUUCCUAAAGGAACUAGCAAACACUAUCAUCAUGAGUAAGUGGGGUGAAUCUCGGUUCAAGAACCCAGGAAUAGAAUACCUACUACUAAGUGGCAUCACGGGAUGCUUUCGAGAAUAAAGGCCAGAAUUAUCACACCGGGAACAAAUCAUGGCUAGAUUACUAGAUGAUCCCCUAGGACACCUAGGGUCAUAAUAAUAAUUCCAACAUAUAUGUCGAGGCAAUAGAAUACUUCAACUCAGCAAUUAGUGUGAUUAACCUGGCUCAAAGGAACAUCAAAACCAGAGGGAAAUGAUUUGCAAGUGCAUCAGAUUGUUUAGAAACCUGGGAUGACUCGGACAACAUAACGGCUGUAAAUGCUCAAAAGGAAUUUUGAGACAUUUUGCAAAGAGUUGCAUAGACACUCAACAAUAUCAUAUCAAGGUUCUGGGUCCAACUUAGCAACAUAAUAGGGUAGUAGAACUGAACUAGGCUUAUAAUCAUCAAACCAAUAAGGUACUACUGAUUAGUAACACGUGAACCUGAUAGAGAGAAAAGAUCCUAAUCCUUAACCCCCGGUGGAAGAAUGGACUGACUCAGAUCAGAAUGCCAUGAGGUAAAGAAGUAAAAAGAGCCUUACGUACCAUCCCACAAUCAAUUCCCCUACAUAUAACUAAAGCAUUUCUAGACUCAACAUCGACCAGUUUGGCUUGGUAAUCCUACAGGCAGUCAGGCUCUUAUACCAAAGCUGUCAGGUCCUGAACGAUGUGUACAGGGUUCCGUGACACCAAACGGGCGCCCGGUAUACCCGGCCACGUGCCUACCGCAUCACAGCCCACCCCUCCGGUCAGCGUUGCGCACGGCCUCCAGCAUACUACAAACACCAGAAACUACUUGCAACUCCUGGACAGAGGACAAGGGUGAUUAAGAAGUCGAGCGGGGUCAUAUUUCAGGGCCCAAUGCAUGGUAGUAGCUGAAUCAUGGAUCACAAACACAUAACUCAGUUCCUGAGGGCGGCUUCAAUGAGACAACCCACCAUGUACUCCUACAUGGACUCUCACCGCUACCUUUACCAAAUCGUGUUCACACACUUAGCUCACACUCAGUAGAAUAUGUUCACGCACCUCUGAUUCAUCCCCGGUGAAUCCGACUUAACUCAACUCUAAGCAAUAGCAGGCAUGACAAACAAACAUGAAUGAGUAGGCACAACAGGGCUCAAACAACUCCUACUCAUGCUAGUGGGUUUCAUCAAUUUACUAUGGCAAUGACAGGUCAUGCAGAGGAUAAAGGGGUUCAGCUACCGCAGCAAGUAAUAGAUGAAUCGUUGUUGUCCUAAUGCAGUGAAAGAGAACAGGAGCGAUAGAGUAGCAUUGUAUCGGAAUGAACAAGGGGGUUUUGCUUGCCUAGCACUUCUGAAGAUAGUAUACUUCUUCAUCGGUGUCAUCGAUCACAACAUCGGUACAACGUCUACCGAGGGGGAACAACACCGGCAAACAGAGAAGCAACAUGAUCAAUGCAAUGCACAAUAUGAUGCAUGCUAUGACAUGGCAAUAUGAAUGUGUUUUGGGCUAAUGCAAGCUAGAACAGAUUGAGAUGAGUCCAUUUGAACCAAAGAUUCAAAUGCAAACCCAUUUUAAGAGGUCAUAAUAGUGUAUUAACUUGUUUCACCUAAACAGCAAGGUUAAUGUGUUCUAACAUGCAUGAAACCAGUGCAGAUGGAUAGAUUGGAUUUGUUUGAUCAUUUUUCAUAUAUAAAUUAUUUCAUUCUGAGUUACGGUUAAAUUUCUAUGAAUUUUAGAAGUUUAGAGCAUUUUCUGGAAUUUCCUGUAUAAAAAUAAAUCCAGAAAAUACUUAUUGCGUCAGCAUUGCAUCGCUCUGACGUCAACAGUGAACGAGGCCAGUCCAGGUCAAACCUGACGUGUGGGGUCCACACGUCAGUGACACGGUUAACCAACAGGGUUAAUUAAAAUUAAACUAAACCUAAUCUAGUUUAGUUAAGGCCUGGGCCAACAUGUCAGAGGCUAACCUAACUAAGUUAAUUACAGCUAAUUAAUCUAUCGCUUAAUUAAGCAGGGGCCUGGCCCACACGUCAGUGAGUCAGGGGGAAGUCAAACCCCGGUCAAACGGGGUCAAACCCGCCGGACCUGGUCCACGGCUCAUCGCCGGCGACGACAGAGACGAUGGGGCGGCUCGUGAAUGCUCUACAGGGCACCGUUUUACUCAUGGUUUGUGGCUACGGCUAGCUAGCAAUGCGGCGCAUCUAAUUGAGCGAACGGGAGGAGCUAGGGUGUCCUGAGCCGACGGCGGCGAGCUCCAAGGCGGCGGCCGGAGUUCGGGCAACGACGGGUUCGGUGCCAUAGUGCAUGGGAGGAGGAGCCGGUGGGCGCUACGGGCUCCUGGGGGUGCACUGGGUGUAGUGACGCGCUCGGUUUGGACGGAGGCGAACUAAAAUGACGACGGCAACAAGUCCGGCGCCGGUGAGGUUUCGGUCUCGACGGAAACGAGGGCUACGAUGAGCUAAUGGACAUGUGAGUAGGGGGGUUAGUAGAGGAGCUUACGACGAGUGCAUAGGUGGCCUAGGCGUGCUCGGGGAAGCACCGGAGCGAGCGGUGCAGCGAGAGGGAUCUCCGGCAGCCGGCGACGAAGAUGAUGAAGAUGGCGUCGAUCCAGGGCCUCCGGCGAUGCGUUGCUGUGCGGAGAGGACUAGGGAGGCGUGGCGAUGCUCGUGGACACGUCGGAGAGGCUCGGAGUUGGCUGCGGCUGCGGCUAUGGCGAACGGCGGCGGCGGUGGCGUUCGGUGGUGAGAGGGAGAGAGAGUAGAGGAGGGGGAGGAGCAUGGGGAGAGUGAGAGAGAGCCACAGGGGUUGCGUGUCGACGUCCAGGGCAUCCAGAGCGACGUCGGGAGGCGGUGGAAAGCUGGAGGUGGCCGAGGCGCGUGGGCGUGAAUGGCGGCCACACGCCUCUCGUCCUACUGGCGAGAGGUGGGAGAUGACUGGCAGAUGGGCCUGGUGGGCUGCUACAGUGCCAGGCCGGCCAGGUAAGCGCCAGAUAUUCUCUCUCUCUCUUUUGUUAAUGUUUUUUUAUUUUUCUGUAACUUCAGGGCUUUAUUAAGAAUGCCAGGGCAUUUCCAAAAAUCAUGAAACUAAUCAUGGCUACUGUUUAGAAUAUAUCCAACAGUAAACAUUUUAGUUUAUGAUUAUUUGAGCAUUUAAAAUAUUUUAUAGCACUUAAAUGCCCAAAUGCAAAUACUAUAGGAUUUAAUUUAGAAAUCCAGAAUGGCCUAGAAAUAUGUGCAUGACAUUUGGCAGAGGUUUUCACCGUUGACAGAAAUCAUGAAAUUUUCUAAAGGGCAUUUGGGAUCACUGAAAAUAUAUAUUUUUUGAACCUAGUUGAAUUCAUUUGGUGCUAGGGUUUCAACAAUCCCCAUUUCAAGUUUCAUGAAAUUUAAACAUGAUGCAUGGAUGCAAAGCCACUAGUUACAAGCAAACUCUGGGGCUAUGACAAAAGCACUCCUACGGUAUCGGUAUCCGGGAGUUACACGAUCUCAUGGUCUAAGGAGAAGAUACUUGACACUGGAAAAGCUCUAGCAAACGAACUACACGAUCUUGUGCUAUGCUUAGGAUUGGGUCUUGUCCAUCACAUCAUUUUCCUAAUGAUGUGAUCCCGUUAUCAACGACAUCUAAUGUCCAUAGUCAGGAAACCAUGACUAUCUGUUGAUCAACGAGCUAGUCAACUAGAGGCUCACUAGGGACAUAUUAUGGUCUAUGUAUUCACACGUGUAUUACGAUUUCCGGAUAAUACAAUUAUAGCAUGAAUAAAGACAAUUAUCAUGAACAAGGAAAUAUAAUAAUAAUCCUUUUAUUAUUGCCUCUAGGGCAUAUUUCCAACAACAUAUUCUACGAAGAUCUUUAUCGGUCAAACCACAUAACAACAUAGGUUCUUCCCUUUGUCAUCGGUAUGUUACUUGCCUGAGAUUCGAUCGUCGGUAUCUCAAUACCUAGUUCAAUCUCGUUACCGGCAAGUAUGUUUACUCAUUCCAUAAUGCAUGAUCCCGCAACUAACUCAUUAGUCACAUUGCUUGCAAGGCUUAUAGUGAUGUGCAUUACCGAGAGGGCCCAGUGAUACCUCUCCGACAAUCGGAGUGACAAAUCCUAACCUCGAUCUAUGCCAACUCAACAAGUACCAUCGGAGACACCUGUAGAGCACCUUUAUAAUCCCCCAGUUACGUUGUGACGUUUGGUAGCACACAAAGUGUUCCUCUGGUAUUUGGGAGUUGCAUAAUCUCAUAGUCAUAGGAACACGUAUAAGUCAUGAAGAAAGCAAUAGCAACAAACUAAACGAUCAAGUGCUAAGCUAACGAAAUGGGUCAAGUCAAUCACAUCAUUCUCUAAUGAUGUGAUCCCGUUAAUCAAAUGACAACUGUCUAUGGUUAGGAAACACAACCAUCUUUGAUUCAACGAGCUAGUCAAGUAGAGGCAUACUAGUGACACUUUGUUUGUCUAUGUAUUCACACAUGUACUAAGUUUCCGGUUAGUACUAUUCUAGCAUGAAUAAUAAACAUUUAUCAUGAUAUAUGGAAAUAUAAAUAACAACUUUAUUAUUGCCUCUAGGGCAUAUUUCCUUCAAAAUUUAGAGAUGACAAACAAAGCUUAAGUAGCAUCUGUUCUACUUGAUUGUAGAAAUUUCUUUUACCUGUAGAAUAACUCGGUUGUUAUUUCUUUAAACAUGAAGUGUGAUAUUAACUUAUCUCAAUCUAGGAACACAAAGCAAAUAUUACAUGUGCUUCUAUGGACUCCAAGCAGAUGAGAAAUCAUUUUGUCUAGAAGUUCCUUAGAAGGAUAUAAUAGUUUUGACCUAAACAAAUUUACUAUUGUACUCGUGUCUUACAAAGUUAAAGCUGAAAAUCAACAUAACCAUUGGACCCUUUGAAAGACAAGUGUAGGAAAUAAAUAGUAGGAUAUAAAUUUGAGCAGAAUGUUUGAUCAAAUACUGAACAAAUAACCCAGCAAACUACUAAAACUCGUCUAUUCUACCUUAUAUGAACUGUCACGAUGAUAAAGCUAUGAUUUUUUUUGGCAAAUAAGUAUCCUAGAACUAAUACAAGUUCAAACAAAUCAGCCACAGAUCCCCGAGCCCAUCCAACCAGAUAGCUGAAACUGAAAGAAGCAUUAGCUCGAUUAGAGCACCUACAGCGGAACUUGACAAAUUUGACCCCUGAAACGCCCGCGGACACGCGUGUUAGUAGACAUAAACCAAUCUUUAAGCAGAGCACGUCCGGCAGUCGGAUGCUCCCCAAAGUGUUGGUCCAGUCGCCGGCAAGGUAGAGUAGGGCAUGGGAUACAAGGCGGCUCACGGGACUCGAGGCGCCACCGUCCCCCAUUCCCAACUCUUCUCAGUCGGAACCCGGACAGUGCCGGUGGACGUCAGAUCGAUGAUGGAUCCUUCCUGGGACGAGCCAGCAACAUCCACCACCACGUGGUUGUGCAGCCCGAACUAGUGCACAAUAUGGGGAGCCGGAAAAUACGACUCCGCCUCCGCAACGCCCACCACCGCGAGGGCUGUCGCUGCCUCCCGCACCCGCUGCAUUGCAUGGCAGGAGCGCCGAACUAUGUUUUGCAUCGGGCGACGCCCAUGGUGCGUCCAUGGCCUCAGUGCGCCAAUGGAGGGGCUGCGCGUCCGCCACCCAUUCAAACGCCAGAUGGACCGCACCACCUUUGUGUUGGAAAUAUGCCCUAGAGGAAAUAAUAAAAGGAUUAUUAUUGUAUUUCCUUGUUCAUGAUAAUUAUCUUUAUUCAUGCUAUAAUUGUAUUAUCCAGAAAUCGUAAUAGACGUGUGAAUACAUAGACCAUAAUAUGUCCCUAGUGAGCCUCUAGUUGACUAGCUCGUUGAUCAACAGAUAGUCAUGGUUUCCUGACUAUGGACAUUAGAUGUCGUUGAUAAUGGGAUCACAUCAUUAAGAUAAUGAUGUGAUGGACAAGACCCAAUCCUAAGCAUAGCACAAGAUCGUGUAGUUCGUUUGCUAGAGCUUUUCCAAUGUCAAGUAUCUUCUCCUUAGACCAUGAGAUCGUGUAACUCCCGGAUACCGUAGGAGUCCUUUGGGUGUACCAAACGUCACAACGUAACUGGGUGACUAUAAAGGUGCACUACAGGUAUCUCCGAAAGUGUUUGUUGGGUUGACACCGAUCGAGACUGGGAUUUGUCACUCCGUAUGACGGAGAGGUAUCGCUGGGCCCACUCGGUAGUGCAUCAUCAUAAUGAGCUCAAAGUGACCAAGUGUCUGGUCACGGGAUCAUGCAUUACGGUACGAGUAAAGUGAAUUGCCGGUAACGAGAUUGAACGAGGUAUUGGGAUACCGACGAUCGAAUCUCGGGCAAUUAAAAUACCGAUUGACAAAGGGAAUUGAAUACGUGGUUGCUUGAAUCCUCGACAUCGUGGUUCAUCCGAUGAGAUCAUCGAGGAGCAUGUGGGAGCCAACAUGGGUAUCCAGAUCCCGCCGUUGGUUAUUGACUGGAGAGCCGUCUCAGUCAUGUCUACGUGUCUCCCGAAUCCGUAGGGUCUACACACUUAAGGUUCGGUGACGCUAGGGUUGUAGAGAUAUGAGUAUGCAGCAAACCGAAAGUUGUUCGGAGUCCCGGAUGAGAUCCCGGACAUCACGAGGAGUUCCGAAUGGUCCGGAGAUAAAGAAUUAUAUAUAGGAAGUGCAUUUUCAGCGAUCGGGAGAGUUUCGGGGGUCACCGGUAUUGUACCGGGACCACCGGAAGGGUCCCGGGGGUCCACUGGGUGGGGCCACCUAUCCCGGAGGGCCCCGUGGGCUGAAGUGGGGAGGGGACCAGCCCAUAGUGGGCUGGUGCGACCCCCUUGCCCCACCUACGCCUAGGGUUGGAAACCCUAGGGUGGGGGGCGCCUCCACUUGCCUUGGGGGGCACUCCACCCCCCUGGCCGCCGCCCCCUUGGGAGAUCCCAUCUCCAGGGCCGGCGCCCCCCCAGGGGGCCUAUAUAAAGGAGGGGGAGGGGAGGGCAGCCGCACCCUGAAGUCUUGGCGCCUCCCUCCCCCCUUGCUACACCUCCUCCUCCCGUAGUCGCUUGGCGAAGCCCUGCCGGAACUCUGCUGUAUCCACCACCACGCCGUCGUGCUGCUGGAUCUUCAUCAACCUCUCCUUCCCCCUUGCUGGAUCAAGAAGGAGGAGACGUCACGCUGACCGUACGUGCGUUGAACGCGGAGGUGCCGUCCGUUCGACGCUAGGAUCUCUGGUGAUUUGGAUCACGACGAGUACGACUCCCUCAACCCCGUUCUCUUGAACGCUUCCGCUCGCGAUCUACAAGGGUAUGUAGAUGCACUCCCCUCUCUCGUUGCUAGAUGAACUCAUAGAUUGAUCUUGGUGAACGUAGGAAAUUUUUUAUUUUAUGCAACGUUCCCCAACAGUGGCAUCAUGAGCUAGGUCUAUGCGUAGUUCUCUAUUGCACGAGUAGAACACAAAUCUGUUGUGGGCGUAGAUGUUGUCAACUUUCUUGCCACUACUAGUCUUAUUUUGCUUCAGCGGUAUUGUGGGAUGAAGUGGCCCGGACCGACCUUACACGUACGCUUACGUGACACAGGUUCCACCGACUGACAUGCACUAGUUGCAUAAGGUGGCUAGCGGGUGUCUGUCUCUCCCACUUUAGUUGGAGCGGAUUCGAUGAAAAGGGUCCUUAUGAAGGGUAAAUAGAAGUUGACAACUCACGUUGUGGCUUUUUUGUUGGUAAGAAAACAUUCUUGCUAGAACCCUAUUGCAGCCACGUAAAAGAUGCAACAACAAUUAGAGGACGUCUAACUUGUUUUUGAAGCAAUUGCCUUGUGAUGUGAUAUGGCCAAAAGUUGUGAUGAAUGAUGAAUGAUAUAUUGUGAUGUAUGAGAUCAUGUUCUUGUAAUAGGAAUCACGACUUGCAUGUCGAUGAGUAUGAAAACCGGCAGGAGCCAUAGGAGUGGUCUUAAUUAUUGUAUGACCUGCGUGUCAAUGAUUUAACGCCAUGUAAUUACUUUACUUUAUUGCUAAACCGUUAGCCAUAGUAGUAGAAGUAAUAGUUGGCGAGCAACUUCAUGGAGGCACGAUGAUGGAGAUCAUGAUGAUGGAGAUCAUGGUGUCAUGCCGGUGACAAAGAUGAUCAUGGAGCCCCGAAGAUGGAGAUCAAAGGAGCUAUAUGAUAUUGGCCAUAUCAUGUCACUACUAUAUAAUUGCAUGUGAUGUUUAUUAUGUUUAUGCAUCUUCUUUACUUAGAACGACUGUAGUAAAUAAGAUGAUCCCUUAUAAUAAUUUCAAGAAAGUGUUCUCCCUAACUGUGCGUCGUUGCUAAAGUUCGUCGUUUCGAAGCACCACGUGAUGAUCGGGUGUGAUAGAUUCCUACGUUCACAUACAACGGGUGUAAGACAGUUUUACACAUGCAAAACACUUAGGUUAAACUUGACGAGCCUAGCAUGUAUAUACAUGGCCUCAGAACACAGAGACCGAAAGGUCGAACAUGAGUCAUAUGGAAGAUACGAUCAACAUGGAGAUGUUCACCAAUGAUGACUAGUCCGUCUCACGUGAUGAUCGGACACGUCCUAGUCGACUCGGAUCGUGUAACACUUAGAUGACUAGAGGGAUGUCAAAUCUGAGUGGGAGUUCACUAAAUUAGAUGAACUUAAUUAUCAUGAACUUAGUCUAAAAUCUUUGCAAAAAUGUCUUGUAGAUCAAAUGGCCAACGCUCAUGUCAACAUGAACUUCAACGAGUUCCUAGAGAAAACCAAGCUGAAAGAUGAUGGCAGCAACUAUAUGGACUGGGUCCAGAACCUGAGGAUCAUCCUCAUAGCUUCCAAGAAAGCAUAUGUCCUAGAAGGACCACUAGGUGAUGCACCCAUCCCAGAGAACCAAGAUGUUAUGAACGCUUGGCAGUCACGUGCUGAUGAUUACUCCCUCGUUCAGUGCGGCAUGCUUUACAGCUUAGAACCGGGUCUCCAAAAGCGUUUUGAGAAACACGGAGCAUAUGAAAUGUUCGAGGAGCUGAAAAUGGUUUUCCAAGCUCAUGCCCGGGUCGAGAGAUAUGAAGUCUCCGACAUGUUCUAUAGUUGUAAGAUGGAGGAAAAUAGUUCUGUCAGUGAGCACAUACUCAAAAUGUCUGGGUUGCACAACUGCCUAACCCAGCUGGACAUCAACCUCCCGGACGAGGCGGUCAUUGACAGAAUCCUUCAGUCGCUCCCACCAAGCUACAAGAGAUUUGUGAUGAACUACAAUAUGCAGGGGAUGGUGAAAACUAUUCCUGAAGUAUUUUCAAUACUGAAGUCUGCAGAGGUAGAAAUCAAGAAAGAACAUCAAGUGUUGAUGGUCAAUAAAACCACCAAGUUCAAGAAGGGCAAGGGUAAGAAAAACUUCAAGACGGACGGCAAGGAUGUUGCCGCACCCGGUAGGCCAGUUGCCGGGAAGAAGUCAAAGAAUGGACCCAAGCCUGAGACUGAGUGCUUUUAUUGCAAAAGGAAGGGUCACUGGAAGCGGAACUGCCCCAAAUAGUUAGCGGACAAGAAGGCCGGCAACACUAAAGGUAUAUGUGAUAUACAUGUAAUUGAUGUGUACCUUACCAGUACUCGUAGUAACUCCUGGGUAUUUGAUACCGGUGCCGUUGCUCAUAUUUGUAACUCACAGUAGGAGCUGCGGAAUAAGCGGAGACUGGCGAAGGACGAGGUGACGAUGCGCGUCGGGAAUGGUUCCAAGGUCGAUGUGAUUGCCGUCGGCACGCUGCCUCUACAUUUACCCACGGGAUUAGUUUUAAACCUCAAUAAUUGUUAUUUAGUGCCAAGUUUGAGCAUGAACAUUGUAUCUGGAUCUCGUUUAAUACGAGAUGGCUACUCAUUUAAAUCCGAGAAUAAUGGUUGUUCUAUUUAUAUGAGAGAUAUGUUUUAUGGUCAUGCCCCGAUGGUCAAUGGUUUAUUCUUAAUGAAUCUCGAACGUAAUGUUACACAUAUUCAUAGUGUGAAUACCAAAAGAUGUAAAGUUGAUAACGAUAGUCCCACAUACUUGUGGCACUGCCGCCUUGGUCAUAUUGGUGUCAAGCGCAUGAAGAAGCUCCAUGAUGAUGGACUUUUAGAGUCUGUCGAUUAUGAAUCAUUUGACACAUGCGAACCAUGCCUCAUGGGCAAAAUGACCAAGACUCCGUUCUCCGGAACAAUGGAGCGAGCAACCAACUUAUUGGAAAUCAUACAUACUGAUGUGUGUGGUCCAAUGAGCGUUGAGGCUCGCGGAGGAUAUCAUUAUGUUCUCACUCUCACUGAUGACUUGAGUAGAUAUGGGUAUGUCUACUUGAUGAAACACAAGUCUGAGACCUUUGAAAAGUUCAAGGAAUUUCAGAAUGAGGUAGAGAAUCAACAUGACCGAAAGAUAAAGUUCCUACGAUCAGAUCGUGGAGGAGAAUAUUUAAGUCACGAAUUUGGUACGCACUUAAGGAAAUGUGGAAUCAUUCCACAACUCACGCCGCCUGGAACACCUCAGCGUAACGGUGUGUCCGAAUGUCGUAAUCGCACUCUAUUGGAUAUGGUGCGAUCUAUGAUGUCUCCUACCGAUUUACUGCUAUCAUUUUGGGGAUACGCUCUAGAGACAGCUACAUUCACUUUAAACAGGGCUCCGUCUAAAUCCGUUGAGACGACACCGUAUGAAUUAUGGUUUGGGAAGAAACCUAAGCUAUCGUCUCUAAAAGUUUGGGGAUGCGAUGCUUAUGUCAAGAAACUUCAACCUGAAAAGCUCGAACCCAAGUCGGAAAAAUGCGUCUUCAUAGGAUACCCUAAGGAAACCAUUGGGUAUACCUUCUACUUAAGAUCCGAGGGCAAGAUCUUUGUAGCCAAGAACGGAUCCUUUCUGGAAAAAGAGUUUCUCUCGAAAGGAGUAAGUGGGAGGAAAGUAGAACUCGAUGAAGUAGUACCUCUUGAACCGGAAAGUAGUGGAGCUCAGGAAAAUGUUCCUGUGGUGCCUACACCGACUAGAGAGGAAAUUAAUGAUGAUGAUCACAGUACUUUGGAUCAAGUUGCUACUGAACUUCGUAGGUCCACAGGGACACAUUCCAAACCAGAGUGGUAUGGCAACCCUGUCCUGGAAAUCAUGUUUUUAGACAACGGUGAACCUUCGAACUAUGAAGAAGCGAUGGCGGGCCCAGAUUCCAACAAAUGGCUUGAAGGCAUGCAAUCCGAGAUAGAAUCCAUGUAUGAAAACAAAGUAUGGACUUUGACAGACUUGCCCGAUGAUCAGCGAGCGAUAGGAAACAAAUGGAUCUUUAAGAAGAAGACAGACGCGGAUGGUAAUGUUACCAUCUAUAAAGCUCGACUUGUCGCUAAGGGUUAUCGGCAAGUUCAAGGGGUUGACUACGAUGAAACUUUCUCUCCCGUAGCAAAGCUGAAGUCCGUCUGAAUCAUGUUAGCAAUUGUCGCAUACUAUGAUUAUGAGUUAUGGAAGAUGGACGACAAAACGGCAUUCCUUAACGGGCAUCUUAAGGAAGAACUGUAUAUGAUGCAGCCGGAGGGUUUUGUCGAUCCUAAGAAUGAUAAUAAGGUAUGCAAGCUCCAGCAAUCCAUUUAUGGGCUGGUGCAAGCAUCUCGGAGUUGGAACAUUCGCUUUGAUGAGAUUUUCAAAGCGUUUGGGUUUAUGAAGACUUAUGGAGAAGCCUGCGUUUACAAGAAAGUGAGUGGGAGCUCUGUAGCAUUUCUCAUAUUAUAUGUAGAUGACAUACUUUUGAUGGGAAAUGAUAUAAAACUUUUGGACAGCAUUAAGGCCUACUUGAAUAAGUGUUUUUCAAUGAAGGACCUUGGAGAAGCUGCUUACAUAUUAGGCAUCAAGAUCUAUAGGGAUAGAUCGAGACGCCUCAUAGGUCUUUCACAAAGCACAUACCUUAAUAAAAUAUUGAAGAAGUUUAAAAUGGAUCAGUCCAAGAAAGGGUUCUUGCCUGUAUUGCAAGGUGUGAAGUUGAGCUUGGCUCAAUGCCCGACCACGGCAGAAGAUAAAGAAGAGAUGAGUGUCAUCCCCUAUGCCUCAACCAUAGGAUCUAUUAUGUAUGCCAUGUUGUGCACCAGACCUGAUGUAAACCUUGCCGUAAGUUUGGUAGGAAGGUACCAAAGUAAUCCCGGCAAGGAACACUGGACAGCGGUCAAGAAUAUCCCGAAGUACCACAAAAGGACAAAGGACAUGUUUCUCGUUUAUGGAGGUGACAAAGAGCUCGUCGUAAAGGGUUACGUCGAUGCUAGCUUCGACACAGAUCUGGAUGACUCUAAGUCACAAACCGGAUACGUGUAUAUGUUGAAUCGUGGAGCAGUAAGCUGGUGCAGUUGCAAGCAGAGCGUCGUGGCGGGAUCUACAUGUGAAGCGGAGUACAUGGCAGCCUCGGAGGUAGCGCAUGAAGCAAUAUGGAUGAAGGAGUUCAUCACCGACCUAGGAGUCAUACCCAAUGCGUCGGGGCCAAUCACUCUCUUCUGUGACAACACUGGAGCUAUUGCCCUUGCCAAGGAGCCCAGGUUUCACAAGAAGACCAGGCACAUCAAGCGUCGUUUCAACUCCAUUCGUGAAAAUGUUCAAGAUGGAUACAUAGAUAUUUGCAAAGUACAUACGGAUCUGAAUAUCGCAGAUCCGUUGACUAAACCUCUUCUGCGAGCAAAACAUGAUCAACACCAGAACUCUAUGGGUGUUCGAUUCAUCACAAUGUAACUAGAUUAUUGACUAUAGUGCAAGUGGGAGACUGUUGGAAAUAUGCCCUAGAGGCAAUAAUAAAAGGAUUAUUAUUAUAUUUCCUUGUUCAUGAUAAUUGUCUUUAUUCAUGCUAUAAUUGUAUUAUCCGGAAAUCGUAAUACACGUGUGAAUACAUAGACCAUAAUAUGUCCCUAGUGAGCCUCUACUUGACUAGCUCGUUGAUCAACAUAUAGUCAUGGUUUCCUGACUAUGGACAUUAGAUGUCGUUGAUAAUGGGAUCACAUCAUUAGGAGAAUGAUGUGAUGGACAAGACCCAAUCCUAAGCAUAGCACAAGAUCGUGUAGUUCGUUUGCUAGAGCUUUUCCAAUGUCAAGUAUCUUCUCCUUAGACCAUGAGAUCGUGUAACUCCCGGAUACCGUAGGAGUGCUUUGGGUGUACCAAACGUCACAACGUAACUGGGUGACUAUAAAGGUGCACUACAGGUAUCUCCGAAAGUGUAUGUUGGGUUGACACGGAUCGAGACUGGGAUUUGUCACUCCGUAUGACGUAGAGGUAUCUCUGGGUCCACUCGGUAGUGCAUCAUCAUAAUGAGCUCAAAGUGACCAAGUGUCUGGUCACGGGAUCAUGCAUUACGGUACGAGUAAAGCGACUUGCCGGUAAAGAGAUUGAACAAGGAAUUGGGAUACCGAUGAUCGAAUCUCGGGCAAGUAAAAUACCGAUUGACAAAGGGAAUUGAAUACGGGGUUGCCUGAAUCCUCGACAUCGUGGUUCAUCCGAUGAGAUCAUCGAGGAGCAUGUGGGAGCCAACAUGGGUAUCUAGAUCCCGCUGUUGGUUAUUGACCGGAGAGCCAUCUCGGUCAUGUCUACGUGUCUCCCGAACCCGUAGGGUCUACACACUUAAGGUUCGGUGACGCUAGGGUUGUAUAGAUAUGAGUAUGCAGCAAACUGAAAGUUGUUCGGAGUCCCGGAUGAGAUCCCGGACGUCACGAGGGGUUCCGGAAUGGUCCGGAGAUAAAGAAUUAUAUAUAGGAAGUGCAGUUUCGGCCAUCGGGAGAGUUUCGGGGGUCACCGGUAUUGUACCGGGACCACCGGAAGGGUCCCUGGGGUCCACCGGGUGGGGCCACCAAUCCCGGAGGGCCCCGUGGGCUGAAGUGGGGAGGGGACCAGCCCCUGGUGGGCUGGUGCGCCCCCCUUGGGCCCCCCCUCCCGCGCCUAGGGUUGGAAACCCUAGGGUGGGGGGGGCGCCUCCACUUGCCUUGGAGGGCACUCCACCCCCUGGCCGCCGUCCCCUUGGGAGAUCCCAUCUCUAGGGCCGGCUCCCCCCCAGGGGUCCUAUAUAAAGGAGGGGGAGGGGAGGGCAGCCGCACCCUGAAGUCUUGGCGCCUCCCUCCCCCCUUGCUACACCUCCUCCUCCCGUAGUCGCUUGGCGAAGCCCUGCCGGAACUCUGCUGCAUCCACCACCACGUCGUCGUGCUGCUGGAUCUUCAUCAACCUCUCCUCCCCCCUUGCUGGAUCAAGAAGGAGGAGACGUCACACUGACCGUACGUGUGUUGAACGCGGAGGUGCCGUCCGUUCGGCGCUAGGAUCUCCGGUGAUUUGGAUCAUGACGAGUACGACUCCCUCAACCCCAUUCUCUUAAACGCUUCCGCUCGCGAUCUACAAGGGUAUGUAGAUGCACUCCCCUCUCUUGUUGCUAGAUGAACUCAUAGAUUGAUCUUGGUGAACGUAGGAAAUUUUUAUUUUAUGCAACGUUCCCCAACACUUUGGUGAGGCGGUGAUGGUACACCUAGCGCCGGAUCCAUGCAUCAUUUGGGCGGACGCAUUGGAUUCCCCGCGGAAGGAGUUCGAGUGUUGCCGUUGCCAUCGGGCAGCCUCCUCCCGGGAGCGGUGGAGCGCAAGCUGGAUGGCCAGCUCCUCCUAGGAGCCGCGUGGGAUGAGUUCGGGGUUGACGGAUCUGGAGGUGUAACACUGGGAUCCGCCUCCUGCCAUGCCGAAGAAGGCCAUAAGAUCGUCGAACGGGAGCUUGGGUGGCGGCAUAGAGUGGAGUAAAGUGGCUAGGGUUUGGUCCGGCAAGCGGAUGGGGAGGAAUAUAUGUGGGGUCGGGUGGGCCAGCGUGGACCGGGACCGACAUGGCGGACGCGCCUGGGCGCCGCAUAUUCUUCCUAGAUUUGGGCUGGAUAUCAGGGGUGCUGGUUAGCUUGGGCGUUUGAGGCCCAUCUGGAUAGUUUUUCUGUGACCUGACCGUUCGUCCGGGCGUUUGAGGUGGGUUUGGGACGCCCAGGUGUAAAUGCUCUUAGACCAUGUAGUACCUUGAGGAGGAUGGUGGGUCCAUGGAACAACUACAGCCUCUCCAUUUUGUUUGGGCGCAGGGCGAUAACGGAGUUAUCUCUACUCCUAAAGAGGGAGUCGUUAGUCUCCCUUCCACGGUUUUUUUGUCUUACCUCCCAUCUUUGUUUCAUUUUUUCCGUCUCUUUUUCCACCACCGUCUGUUUUUUCUCAUCUCCACCUGGCAUGUAACGAAAAAAAAUCUGUUUCAUAGGUCGAUUGUCAAGGUCCGAGAGCCGCCGCCACCUUCAUUGCGGACCUCUAGGUCGCCGUCCGGACACACCGCCGAGGUCCGCAAUCACCGACGUUGAGGUCCGAGAGGAGCUGCCGCCCCCUUCAUUCUGGGCCUGGACGCUUCAUGGUCCUCCUACCUCUCCCUUUCCUCUCCCCUUCUCUCCCGCUUCCAUCCUCACUCGCCGCCCCUGCCUCUCNNNNNNNNNNNNNNNNNNNNNNNNNNNNNNNNNNNNNNNNNNNNNNNNNNNNNNNNNNNNNNNNNNNNNNNNNNNNNNNNNNNNNNNNNNNNNNNNNNNNNNNNNNNNNNNNNNNNNNNNNNNNNNNNNNNNNNNNNNNNNNNNNNNNNNNNNNNNNNNNNNNNNNNNNNNNNNNNNNNNNNNNNNNNNNNNNNNNNNNNNNNNNNNNNNNNNNNNNNNNNNNNNNNNNNNNNNNNNNNNNNNNNNNNNNNNNNNNNNNNNNNNNNNNNNNNNNNNNNNNNNNNNNNNNNNNNNNNNNNNNNNNNNNNNNNNNNNNNNNNNNNNNNNNUCUCUCUCUCUCUCUCUCUCUCUCUUGUUUCCUACCCCACUGGUUCUACAAUGCUGGUCGUCGCCUUGGGUUGGCGAACCUAGCUACUGUGGGUUGGGAUUCAAAUGCCACAUCAUCUUUGGGACGCGGCCGUGACGGCUUGGCCUGAUGCCUGCGAAGUAGGGCGAGCAGAGACAACAUGAGACUGCGCCGCUGUGCUGUUCGCCGUGACGCGCUGUCACGCUGUGUAGAUGGAGGAUGCGUGCCCAAGCCUUGUUGUGCCUGUCUUCCCGUGCGGUAGUCGGGAUCUGGACUGGAUCGGGGUUGAGUUCGACACCACCGAACCCCGGCUUCCAGGAGACCAGGCGCCUCCUCUCCUCAUCACCCGUCUCACCAGAGGCAUGUGCAGAAUUCCGUACACCAUCUGCGCAAACAUGGUGGUCGACGACGCUCUGGAUGUGGUCUACGUGAGGACUAGGUUCCAUCAUUAACAUGUACCCUGGCAAGGUAUGUGCUAUGGGAUGUAAACUCUCGAUUUUAUCUUCAUUUUAGUUGCCUUCAUCUCAUGCUUUGUUCGUUCCAUAGGCAUUUGUCAUGAAUCUAUUUUCAGGAGGGUGAUGUUAACGAUUUCAAAAACUUGAUAGCAGGGUAUGGCUAUAGUUAUUGGUCAUGCAUUAUCGCGAGGCUUGACAAGCAUACCAUAAAAUGGUUUUUAUUUAUGCUCUCGUAGGUUAAACCAAUCUCUGUCAUUAUGAAAUUGGCAUAGCUGAACAUGAUCAGGACUUCAGCAGGGCAGGGUCAUUACUUUGGAGUUUCAGCACUCAUAGUUGGUGAGUGCUUAUGUCCUAAAAUUUUGGAUGUGACUAAACAUAGGCUGGUAUGGCUAAUCUUUUUUGCUUUUCUGUCCUUGCUCUUCACGGAAUCUUCAGGUUUACGGAUUGAUAAUUGUGAUCUAUGUUUCAACCACUUCCCAAUGUUUUACUUGAUGAGAAGGUUCUAAUUUUAUUUUAUUUUAUUUCACUUGAUGAGAAGGGUCCAUGUUUCACCGACUUUGUACAAGUGUGUUUGCUUAGCUAGAUUUCUGCCCUUAUUUUCUAUUUGACAUCCCUCAAUCAUUUUCUGCAGAUUCACUUCGUUCGUAUUCUAUAUUGUUGUAAGUGCACCUAGGGAUAUUAUAGUAGUUCUUAUCUGCAGUUUACUACAACUGGUGACCACAUCUCCAUAUUAUUAUCUUUAAAAUGUACUUUCAAAAAGUAAACUAAUUAACGUUAACCUUCCGCUCUGUAGAAACCACAUAAUUUCAACUCAUUAAUCAUUUUUUAGCGGAAAGGCAGUAAUCAAUGAUGGCGAUUUAAACUGUACUCCUUAUAGUAUUGAUAUUCCCCAUGCACCGGUAUGUUCUCGUACAUCCGUGAAACUUCUGAGUCAAAAUGUUAUAUCCUUAUGUAUACAGUUCAUCAUUGGUUGUUACAGAAUUUCCCAGUGGGCACAACCUCAACCCACACCUCCCACCAGGAUCUUCUCUCUGCCGGAGCCAUCCUACCUGCAGCCAGCUCCCCCUCGUACGCCCUGAUCUCCACCUUGUGUGCUGGUCCAUUCAUCAUAGCUAGAAGGUAAUGACUAAUGAGCAUGUCAUCUCUGCCCCUCUCAAUUUCAUCCUUGUGUUGUUUAUUUUUCAGAGAAUGUGGUAUUAUGUAGCCCCUCUCUGUUGAUGAAUUGAAUGUAUAGAUUAUAUACUAGCAAAAGAGCCCGUGCGUUGCAACGGGAUAAUAAAACCGACGAAUUGUACUCGUGUGACUUGAGCUUUGGUUGGUUUCACACGCUUAUACUUCUUAGUUUUCUUGUAAAAUAAUAUGGCGGUAUUUAUACUAUUCAGGGUUGGUUAUCCAUCCGUCAGGUUAUUCAGGGCGUAAAUUUACGGAAAGAAGCAUAUUGUGACGGUGAAUGCGACGGAGUCAAUCCGUGCUUUAUUAUUUGGAAAAGAGAAAUAUGCCUAUGCAUUGCUACGGCUCUAGAAUAAACCUAUACAUGGUCAAAAUACAGGACAGCAACAUGUCUUCUUUUAGUUUUUUUCAAACCAUUAGAAAUAUGUUAGAUUUUACUUAAGUUUAGUUCCCUUAUUCCACCAUAAAGCAUUCCGGUUGAAAAGGAGAUGGCGUCUGUCAUUUACUUUCUAGAAAAACAUAGAGUCGAUAAACUUUCCUGUAUCUUCAGCCAUAGGUCCUUUACUCAUAUUUAAAAAAUUGUAAUAUUUAAUCCAAGCAAAAUUAUAUGAAUUACAGGAAAAAUUGUACUCAUGUGACUUGAGCUUUGGUUGGUUUCACACGCUCAUACUUCUUAGUUUUUUUGUAAAAUAAUACGGCGGUAUUUAUACUAUUCAGGGUUGGUUAUCCAUCCGUCAGGUUAUUCUUGAAGCUAGCUAGUAAUCACCAUGAGUUCAGUUGGCGUUCCAAGUAAUCACCAAGCCAAUCGACCGUGAGCAUCCGGACGUUAGCUGCGAAUGACAGACGGCUGGAUGGGCUAAUGAAGAUUAAACCUCAAUUUUGUACGCGGUAGUGCUGCAGACCUUCUGCAGUGAGACUUCGAUCAGAAGGACUUACCAGACAGGGGCACGGAGGAUUUAGAUAUCCUACUGCAGCUGCCGCUGCUCACCAAGGAGUUGCUCCCGUGCCGCUCGAAGGUCGCCAGCUCGGGGCAGAGCAGGAGCUUAAAGGCCAUGGACACGCCAGACCUGAAGGACGGCAGUGGCAAGGGUGGCGCAGGUGGGCGACGUUGCUCGCGCUCGGGGCGGACGCCGGCGGCGCUCGAUCUUGCCUAGAGCACGGAGGGGACAGGGGAGCAGGGGAAGAGGUAGGCAGUAAACCAGAUAGGAAUGGCACAUGUAUCGCAUCUGCCCUCGGCGGAGCUCCGCUCUGUCGUCAACAUCCGCGACGGACCCCACGAAGCCCAUCAUGUCGGCGUCCUUGAGGAACCGCCCCUGCUUGCCGCGGCCGACCGCAAUUUCGGAGAAAUUGGAGAUGGGGGAUCGUCCGCGGUUCGGCAACGGGUACGGGGAGGAGUCCGGGGCAAAGACUGUUCCGCUCGACCGGCCGGAGGAGCGCAGCCGCUCCGGUGGCCAGAGAUCGAGGGGGUGGCGGCGGUGUCCAACCCCCAACAGGCUGUGUUCUUUUUCUGACGGGACGAAAAAGGGGAAUCCCUUCUCUGGAACCGCUGUCGUUGCUCGACUGUGCUCCAAGCCGCCGCCGCCACCGCCGUCGCCUGAUUGCUCUCUCCCCGUCAACCCCCCCUCUCUCUCGAUCCAGCGACGCGUGUUUAGAUCGAAGCCCCCUGAAUUCCACGACCGAUCUGAUUCUAUCGAUCGAGGCAGCUCUGUUUCGAUUUGUAUAUGUACUUUUUAGGAGGAGUGUCCCGUGUUUGUUUCUGAUAGCCAUCUAUUUGUUUUAUGCUCAACAGGCCCAUUAGCCCUUGAUCUGGCCCAGGGAGUCUAGCGACCCAGGGAGUCUAGCGGGGAAGAGAGCGGGUGCGACCGAUUGGAUGCACACGACGUGGUUGGCCAUCUGAAUUAGUACCACCUUGAAUAUAUUUUAAAAUUAAAAUUGAAAACGUAAAAUCACGGAAAGAAGCGCAUUGUGACGGUGAAUCCGGAGACCCAAUCCAUGCUUUAUUAUUAGGGAGAGAUUACUAAAGAAAUCCGCCUUAAAAGGCGUUCCACUAAAAACGCAGUAGGAUCCUAUUUCAAGUUCCUUGCACUUAAACCGCAAAAGGGAAAGGCAAUUUUCCUAACUUUUCCCGUUAACGCAGAGCAGUCAGAUGAAUAACAGUAGGAUUGUUCAGUUUGUAUGCUCGUCCACUACUUCGGUUUAUUCAGGUUGCAUGAUACAGUAAUUUUGCAAAUGUGUCAGACUAUCUAUUUAGAUUAGCUAAUAGAAUUUAUUUCCACUAUGUGUUGUGCGGAGGAUAGAUCAGCAGGACUAAACAAUAUGUGUCUAACACCAUUUGCACAAUUCCCUUAAACUGCCCGCAGUAGCUGACCAAGUACCACCAAUGUUGUCAUCAGUCUUGAAGGGGAUUCAAAACCCGGUAGGAUCGCACACCGUAUGGCUUGGACAUCGGAAGAAGAUGCAAGAUUGGUAAUGAGAUUACUUGCCUCAGUGCUCAAUUUAUGAUCCUAUUCAUUUGAACUGAUUUACUUGUUUGUCUCAGCUAAUCUAUCCUCAAACGCAGACAACCAUUUGGUCGAAAACCUCAAAUGUUUCCAUCGAGAUAAUAACAAGAAGAACAUCAAGUACUGGGAUGACAUUGUUGUUACAACAAUAGUAAUAGGCCAAGUCACCGGAAGGGAGAUGCUCGUCGUGUAUGAUGGACAUGGUGGCUCGGAGGUGAGGUUAUCUUCUCUUGAAAAUCUUGACCUAGACAAAAGAAAUUAACCUUGAGGCCAUGGGAAGCAGGAAAGCGAAGGUCACGAAUGGCCGCACAAUUUGGUGGUGUUUGUGUGUUGUGCGGUCAAGCCUUUCUACGGGCUCCAUGGUGAUGCAGCAGCAUCACCUUCUUACGGAGAUGAGAUGAUGGGAUGAGGCCGCAUGGUGUUACCUAUUGUUGUUGUGUUAGCUUUGCUGUGUAUGUGUGCGUGUGAGAGAGAUCAGCGGCUGAUUGGGGAUGGUUAUGUUGUUGCUAGAUUAUAAAACAUGUCGUUUAAGUGAAUAUCAACUGUCGGAAAGAAAGCAAUGGUACUGUGAUUCUACUGUUUUAUGCUAGACGUUAAAGAAUACUACUUGCAAGCAGUUAGCGACGAACUGAGGGUUUGCAAGUAGUACUUUUUCCCAGUUGUGCUUCUACUUGCCUGAAUUUAAGUAGGAGAAAUUACCAGUUGUGUUUUUUUGAAAUAAUCUUGAUUUAACUAUGAUUUUCAGAAACUGGUACAGCUUUAACACGGUUCCUUGCUCACUGUGGUACAUUAAAACAAUAAAUUGAGGAGUUUAGAGCCUGCCUAGAGACCUCACAUAGCACCGCCUCAUUUGGCAGCGACAUCAUGAUGAUCUUGUCUGGUCUACUCCAAGUCUCCGCUUGUGGUUUGUGUUGGAAAUAUGAGCAAUUUACCGAAUGAUUUUAUUAACAAAAAUACUAGAUAAAGCAUGACUAAAAUAGGAAAUAUAAAGAAAGUCAUGCAGUCUGACAGAGAGAAGGUAAACAUCGUCUGCAUAAAUGAACUUGAGCUAAACACAUCUAGAACAGACAAUAGAUGAAGUUGCUCAUACGAAACAGAACCUAACAUACGUAGGGCAGAAACUAGAGCCAAGAACUGUAGCAGGACUUCUAACAGAAAGGAGAAGAACACGUACGGCAUAGCAGCAGCAGAAGAGCUGGACUUGGGGUCAGUGUCCUCGCCUGCCAUGUCGUCGAGGAGGUCGUGGACGUCGGGGAAGAAGUCGUCGUCGGGGAAGUAGUCGUCGGCGACCGGAUCGUCUGUGAUGAAGCAGCCAGUAGUCGCGCUGAGCGCUUCCCAAAAACCUUAUCACCCUUCUCCCGUACAUGACUCAAAAGGUGCGGUCUCUGAGGCCUACUGUCCCAACAUGCGGUGCACGCCGCAAGUCGGGAUGAGGAAGACAGCAGCAGCUCAGAGAUGGAACCGAUGGCGAGGGAAGGAGCAGUUCUGGUGCGUAUCUCUGAAAGGAGCGACCUCCCUUUUAUAGGCGCAAGAGAAGGAGGCGAGAGGCUGCGCCGGGAGCUGAAGGGAAUGUGGGAGACGAAACGAACAAGCAGCAGCUGAAGGGGCGCGCCGUUCGGAUUCAGUGUCCAGGCACAGAAAAAAACUGUUUCAGCUUCCGAGUGACCUUUCGUAUACACGUAGUGCGUGGCAAAACUUUAGACAUCGGCUCAUUCCCGCAACCCGCGGCGUGACGAGGCGGGCGGCGGAGGAGGAGCGCGCGUGGAUGUCCCUCUUGUUCUCAUGCUCAUACAAGUGGGGAAGGAGUCUCCCUUAUAAAGAGGUCCAACUCCCUCUAAACUAGCAAGGUGGGACUAAACUUUAGUUCCACCUCUUACCUUGCAUGAAUGGGCUGCGUGGGCCUCUAGGAUUUAUUAGGAAUUUCUGAAACUGCUAUUGGGCUAGGCCCAAAUAGACAAAAAUUCCAGCAGUUUGUGUUCUUUAGGUCUAUGGAAAACACCACGGUGCAUGCCAUUGUCCGUCAUUUCGGGAAAAAUGACCUAGAACAUGCAGAUAACUAAAUUUGGUGAAAGAACUGAAGAAAUCUACUACAUCACAAUAUGAAUUAAAAACAAACAAAAAAUUGGGCAGGACCUCUACAUAAAAAUGGACAGUUAUAGAAAUUUAGCGAAACGGAAAUAAAUCAACGGUUUGCCAAAAAUUUAACGCUUAUAGUAUGAAUCCCAAUAAGGAAAUGAAGACAUCUACUACAUCACAAUAUGAAUAAAACAUAAACAAAGAAAUUUGGCAUGACCUCUGCAUAAAAAUGGACAUAUUAAGUGAUUGAGAUCUGGCGAAACAGAAAUAAAUCAACGUAUCGCCAAAACUUUAGCACUUAUAGUAAGUAUACCUAUAAUGAAUUGAAGACAUCUACUACAACAUAUUAUUUAACUCAGUAUGAACAGAAAUAAUGUACGGAAUAAUACAAUAUAUAUGUGAGACUAUAUAAUUACCUCUAAUAUGAACAAAUUGGUAUUCCUUGUUCAUGGUUACGUAUGUGGCUGCUGCAACUAUAAUUGUUUUGAUGUGUGUGCCUUAAAAACUAUAGAACAAGAAACUACAACUAUAAAUGAACUCUAGUAUGAACAAAUCGAACUCAUUAACGAAUAUGAACACAUUAAUAGCAAUAACCCUAACCCUAGUCGAACGUACGUGUGCGUGUGCGUGGCGGCCGUGGCCGUGGGUGACAAGGAGGAAAGCCGGAGAGGGAGGCGCGGACGACAAUGUAUUACUGGAUGGAGCGGAGGGUGACGGGGCGGAUCGUCGGUGAGGGCGACGGGGCGGCGAAUCGAGGGCGAGGGAGACGCGCGGUGAACGGCUAGGGCGGCGACGAGUAAGCGGUGCUGAUGGCGGCAGCGGACAGGGACGACGACUUGGGUAGCAUGGAUGAGCCAACGGCGUCCGCGACGAGAUGGGGAAGAGUGGGAGUGAGAGAGUAAAUUGGGGUAGGAGGAGAGGGGGCACGUGCGUGUACGUAGGUCGAUUGAGUUUGUCGUAUGCGACCGGUGUGCCAAGCCUCCCAACACGGCUUCUUUGGGGUGGUGGGCGGAAAACCGAUUCGAUUUGGGGCAGAAUAGACAGCUAACUUAGUUGUGGCGGGUAGGGGCCCAUACCCGCCAGAGCUAAUAUCUGUAUAAAAUUUAUUUUUCUGGCGUGCAUUGCUGGCACUAAACUGUGGCCGGCCCAAUCGAGCGUCCGCCACUUUUGCAUUCAAGAACAAUGGCGGCCGAGGCUAACACCCGCCACUGAUCGCAUUCAUCAGGUGGCCAUACUCAGUGGUGCUUACUUGUGGCGGGUGGUGUUCUCCACCCGCCACUGCUACGCAUGUAACUCUGGAGGUCAUGUUGUGGCACCUGCCACUGGUACUUUUGCUAACUAGCAGUGGCAGGUGCUAUGUCCCGCCCGCCAAUCUUUCGAAUUCACCUAUAAGCCCUUUCCCAGUAGAGUAAUAAAGGACUUCUUGACAAGUCCGUGUAGAUUAAAGGUAUGUUAGUAGAUGGUGUAAUAAAUACAUGCUUUAGUGAUCUAAGGAUACAAAUAUGCCACUAUUUAUUUUGUAAAAGGUCGAAAUCAUUCUUAGAAAUCUUAGUAACAACAGUUCUCAUGAACAACUUUGACAAAAUGCAUCAAAUGUUACAAAUAAUACAUACAAACUUAGUUCAAUAAAUUAAUCAAUUGAAGUGAGAACAAACCUAAAUGUACUUAGAGUAAAUCAAUUAAUACGUGUAAAGCCAAUACUAAUCCAAUAUUUAUUAAUAAAUUUGCAUAGAAUUACAACCCUUUGACAUAGAAAGGGAAUAUGAUGAGUCAUGUAUAGAUAACUUGCACAACAUUCCUACCCUUGGCAUAAAAGGAGAAAUUGAUGAGUCAUGUAUUGAUAAUGUGCACAACAUCACUACCCUUGACAUAAAAGGAGAAUUUGAUGAGUCAUGUGUUGAUAACGUGUACAACAUUACUAUCAGUAUGUUCAACUUACCAUCAUAUUAUACAACACUACAAGUUAGUUUUAAAAAGAACAAGAGUCCAGAACGAAGAUCAGAAUACUUGCUUGAUCUAUCUUAACAACAUGCACUAGGACAAAAAUUUAGUCCCACGCAAGCUAUGAAGAUUUGUUUUAUGUAUAACUAUUUGUACAACAUGACAAACUUAGAUCCAAAAGGAAUGCAAUCCAGAUAAUUGUUUGACAUGUAAAGUGAAUAAGAUGAGUCAAUGCCAAUUAUCAAGUUUUCCUCACUCUUAGAUGAUAUGUACAAUAAAAAGACAACUUUGAUGAUCACUCUGAAAUUACGUUUGUAUGUAGUGCCACCAAACACAACAUCCCAAAUAUUAGUUUGAUAAGCAUCAAAUCACUUUUGAAAAAAGAAAGCAAUAAUGAAAAGAAACCUAACCAAGAUAGCUAUAAAAAGGCCUGCAAUAUGUAGACUCCAUACCAUCAUCCAUCCUUCACACACCUAGAGCACAAAUCAGCAAAUCCAAGUACGUAGUAGUUAACGCAAAUCGACCAUGAAGACCUUACUCAUCCUGACGAUCCUUGCGAUGGCAAUAACCAUCAGCACCGCCAAUAUGCAGGUCGACCCUAGUGGCCAAGUACAAUGGCCACAACAACAACUAGUCCCCCAACCCCAACAGCCAUUAUCCCAGCAACCGCAACAAGCAUUUCCCCAACCCCAACAAACAUUUCCCCAUCAACCACAACAACAAGUUCCCCAGCCUCAGCAACCACAACAACCAUUUCUCCAGCCCCAACAAGCAUUCCCCCAACAACCACAACAACCAUUCCCUCAGACUCAACAACCACAACAACCAUUUCCCCAGCAACCACAACAACCAUUUCCCCAGCAAUCACAACAACCAUUCCCCCAGACUCAACAACCACAACAACCAUUUCCCCAGCAACCACAACAACCAUUCCCCCAGACUCAACAACCACAACAACCAUUUCCCCAGUUCCAGCAACCACACCAACCUUUUCCCCAGCCCCAACAACAAUUCCCGCAGCCCCAACAACCGCAACAAUCAUUCCCCCAGCAACAACGACCGUUCAUUCAGCCAUCUCUACAACAACGUUUGAACCCAUGCAAGAAUAUCCUCUUGCAACAAUGCAAACCUGCGUCAUUGGUGUCAUCCCUCUGGUCGAUAAUCUGGCCACAAAGCGAUUGCCAAGUGAUGCAGCAACAAUGCUGCCAAGAACUAGCACAGAUUCCUCAGCAGCUCCAGUGCGCAGCCAUCCAUAGCGUCGUGCAUUCCAUCAUCGUGCAGCAGCAGCAACAACAACAACAACAACAACAACAACAACAAGGCAUGCAUAUCCUGCUGCCACUAUCUCAACAACAACAGUUGGGUCAAGGUACUCUCGUCCAAGGCCAGGGCAUCAUCCAACCUCAGCAACUAGCUCAAUUGGAGGCGAUCAGGUCAUUGGUGUUGCAAACUCUUCCAACCAUGUGCAACGUGUAUGUCCCACCUGAGUGCUCCAUCAUCAGGGCACCAUUUGCCAGCAUCAGGGCAUCAUCAGGGCACCAUUUGCCAGCAUAGUCGCGGGGAUUGGUGGCCAAUGAAAAAAGCAAGAUCUAUACUAAUAGAUAGAUGGAUCAUCGUUACUUAGCAGAUGCACCAAUCGAUGUAACGAUGACAAAUAAAGUGGCGUGCACCAUCAUGUGUGACCCCGACCAGUGCUAGUUCAAGCUUGGGAAUAAAAGACAAACAGAGUUCUUGUUUGCCAGCAUUGCUUGUCAUUGUUCCAUUCACCAUGUAUUUAGAUGUUCAUCCCUAACCGCAGUUCUAGGCUUACACAUCAACAGCUAGUUGCUUGUGCCGGCAGGUUCCUAUGUAAUCUACCGAUUAAUGGUUGACCUAUUAAUCCAGUUUAUAGGCCGAUUGAUCUAUUAAUUGCUGCUCCCAAACUGACCGACCAGCUAUCAGUUACCAUUUUGCUGAACAUUGCACACAGUAAUAACUCAACGUAUUUUAAUGUCUAGAAGUAAAAGGGCCAUUUUAGCAGCAAAACAAGCGCCUGAUUAGGAACCAUCCAUCACUUUAAAUGUUCACCAAGAUAUUUUUGCGUUGGUGCAAUUUUGAGAUUGGUGGCACCGAAACAUUCCUCAAAGCAAUUCUUUAUGGGACUCCAAAGAGGUGAAAAUAAAGUAAAGUUGCCACAUGGUAAAAUAUAAAUCAUGCGGCGAGCAAGAGAAAAUAUUGAGUUACGAUAGCAAGCGCCAAACAUGCCAUUAAACUCUUCAUAUGGUUUCGUGCAGAGAGGGGGGAUUUAGAGAUGACAAACAAAGCUUAAGUAGCAUCGGUUCUGAUUGUAGAAAUUUCUUUUACCUAUAGAAUAACUCGGUUGUUAUUUCUUUAACAAUGUAGUGUGAUAUUAACUUAUCUCAAUCUAGGAACACAAAGCAAAUAUUACAUGUGCUUCUAUGGAUUCCAAGCAGAUGAGAAAUCAUAUUGUGUAGAAGUUCAUUAGAAGGAUAUAAUAGUUUUGACCUAAACAAAUUUACUAUUGUACUCGUGUCUUAGAAAAUUAAAGCUGAAAAUCAACAUAACCAUUGGACACUUCGAAAGACAAGUGUGGGAAAUAAAUAGUAGGAUGUAAAUUUGAGUAGAGUGUUUGAUCAAAUAUUGAACAAAUAACCCACAAACUACUAAAACUCAUCUAUUAAUUCUACCAUAUAUGAACUGUCACAAUGAUAAAGCUAUGAUUUUUUUGACAAAUAUGUAUCCUAGAACUAAUACAAGUUCAAACAAAUCAGCCACAGAUCCCCGAGCCCAUCCAACCAGAUAGCUGAAACUGAAAGAAGCAUUAGCUUGAUUAGAGCACCUACAGCCUAACUUGACAAAUUUGACCCCAGAAACGCUCGCGGACGCGCCCGGUAGUAACCGGUCACGCCUAAAAUAUUUCAUUCUACAACCAGAUACCUCAAAUUAGAAACCUCAAAUCCAUAUUAUUACAUGCAACAUAAAUCGAUCUUUAAGCAGAGCACGUCCGGUGAUCGAAUGCUCUCCGGAGUGUUGGUCCAGUCACCGGCAAGUUAGAGUAGGGCAUGGGAUACGAGGCGGGUCACGGGACUCGAGGCGCCACCGUCCCCCAUUCCCAACUCUUCUCCAUCGGAACCAGGACGGUGCCGGUGGACGUCAGAUCGAUGAUGGAUCCUUCCUGGGAUGAGCCAUCAACAUCGACCACCACGUGGUUGCGGUGCCCGGACUAGUGCACAAUAUGGGGAGCCGAAAAAUACGACUUUGCCUUCGCAACGACCACCACCGCGAGGGCUGUCGCCGCCUCCCGCACCCGCUGCCUUGCAUGGCAGGAGCGCCGAACUAUGUUUUGCGUCGGGCGGUGCCCAUGGUGUGUCCAUGGCCUCAGCACGCCAAUGGAGGGGCUGUGCGUCUGCCACCCAUUUGAACGCUAGAUGGACCGCACCACCUCUGGUGAGGCAGUGAUGGUACACCUAGCGCCGGAUCCAUGCAUCAUUUGGGCGGACGCAUUGGAUUCCCCGCGGAAGGAGUUCGAGCAUUGCCGUUGCCAUCGGGCAGCCUCCUCCUGAGACCGGCGGAGCGCAAGCUCGAUUGCCAUCUCCUCCUAGGAGCCGCGUGGGAUGAGUUCGGGGUCGACGGAUCUGGAGGUAUAACACUGGGAUCCGCCGCCUGCCAUGCCGAAGAAGGCCAUAAGAUCGUCGGACGGGGGCGGCAGGGAGUGAAGUGAAGUGGCUAGGGUUUGGUCCGGCAAGCGGAUGGGGAGGAAUAUAUGUGGGGUCGGGUGGGCCAGCGUGGAUCGGGACCGACAUGGCGGACGCGCGUGGGCGCCCCAUAUUCUUCCCAGAUUUCGGCUGGAUAUGAGGGGUGUUGGUCAGCUUGGGCGUUGAGGCCCGUCUAGGUCAUUUUUCUGUGACCUGGCCGUCCGCCGGGGUGUUUGAAGUGGGUUUGGGACACCCGGGUGUAAAUGCUCUUAGACCAUGUAGUACCUUGAGGAGGAUGGUGUGGGUCCAUGAAAGAACUACAGCCUUUCCAUUAUGUUCGGGCGCAGGGCGAUAACGAAGUUAUCUUUACUCCUACAAGGGGAGUUGUUAGUCUCCGUUCCAUGGGUUUUUUUGUCUCACCUCCCAUCUUCGUUUCAUUUUUUCCGUCUCUCUUUCACACCGUCGGGUGGAGCUUAUGUGUCAUACUCCGUGACCUUUCAUUAGUUUUCUAGAGAGAAUCCUACUCUCAUAGAUUGCGACGUUUAACAAUCAGACUCAUAUAGGUGUGUUCUUCAAAAGAUGUUCUGCAGGACAACAUCUCUCCUUCAAAAAGCCACUUAGAACACAUUAAGAUAUACAUCAACCUACCAUGCAGAUUAGGAGAGUAUUGCAUCUUCAUGGAGUGGUAUUUUAACAAUAAGGAUACACUACUAGGGAAAAGGCUAGCAGCAGCGCGGGUUUUUGGUGUAUCAGUAGCGCGGGGUGGGGCGCUACUAAUAAGGCGCUACAGCUAACAUAUAGCAGUAGCGCGUGGUCACCGGCGCUACUGCUACACAAGUGUAGCAGCAGCGCGGUUACUGGGAGCACGCUACUGCUAGUAGCUCUAGCGCCCUUUGCAGCAACGCGCUACUGCUAUAGAGGCGCUGCUGCUAACUUCUAUACACUCGCUACUGCUAAUUUAACAGGUUUUUUGUUUUUUUGGGCAUAUUUGUUUUGUAUUUGAACAGGCUUUAUAGAAGAAUCUUUAGCACAUAGAAAUGUCAUCAUGAUACACAUACAAAUGCCUGCGAGACCACGAAUAUAAUCAUAGCAUAUACAUACAAAUAGUCUCAUCAUAAUCAUCAUCCAACACAAAGUGGUCUCUCGUCAUCAUCUCGAAAAUAGCGAUACAAGUCCUUGAUUACUUGCAAAUACAUUGUCAUCCAUCUAAACAAUGGUAUACGCGAGAAGAGCUAUCACUUUGAGAACAUGAGUUCGUAUCCCUCUCUCGCAUUAGCGUGAACCUAAACUAACUACUGCCUGUCGCUCGGAAACCGGAAACCGGCAACACCUGGGUCUGACACUCCGGUCACUCAUCGUAUAUAUACUCCUGGCGUAGCACUUCUUCGCCAUCGAUGAUCUAUGCACCUGCAUCAUCACAUGAGUAGAUGAUAUGCAACAUAUAUAGUUGAGCAACAGAAAGAGACAGACUUGACAAAAAUAGAAACAACGUAUCAUAAGCAUAAAUAACAAAGUUCAUCAUAACCAAAAUGCCCUAACUAGAGUGAUCUUCGCUAGUCGAGGAGGAGGACGGUUUAAUUACAUCACAAAUAAAGUUUUACUGCGCAUAACUCAAAGUUUUGUCAUACAGAAAGUAUGGAGUAAACAGACACAUUGUCAUAUAUUGACAAUCACUCCAACAUGCCGUGCCAUCCAUCGAGGUCAGGGAGAUAGUCCCCGAGCUUAGUGAAAGGCUUCAUGUCGAGACGCUGAGAGGCUAUCCAUGUUCGGACGUCUUCCCACAACAUUUUUCCUCCGUAGAACAUCCCUGUUUUUCCGACGACCUCUUUCAUGAUGAUUUGGGCAAGUUCGCGUUGGAUGUUAUAGAACUCAGCUCGAAGUCGAUGAUCCUCGAUAUCUCCUAUGUCCUUUGCCCAUUGCAGAAUAUGGGCAUCGCCAGAUCUAGGUGACAUGUGAAGGUUCUGGUGAUCCCGUUUGUACUCCCGCAUGUGGUGUAGGACAUAGAAUCCACCAUUAAGAGAAUCGUUCGGUUGUUGGAUGCAGCAGAAGUCGGUCUUAUGGCUGAAGGCGGCCCUGCCGCCCCUUCUCUUCUUGUCCCUAACCUCUCCACCCCUUGCUUGGUAGUAAAACAUAGCACUGUCGAGAACAUCUUUGAUGUGGGUGUAAUCCUUUUUGUGAAUGUUAUUCGAUGAGUCCAAGUAAAGAGCAUGGGAGAAUCGGGGGUAGAGGAUGAUGAGGACGGCGCGCCCGCCGCUGCGCAAAAUAAGUACACCUCAAAUUAAUUAGCCUUCACCGUGCAAAUGAAUUAUUGAAAUCGAAGGAAGGAUAGCAGCGCGGAUGACUUACACGGGAUGAUAAGGCACGAGAAUCGCCUCCUUGUCCUUAUUGGCGAGCAUGAAACUAACGAUGUAAUUCCUCGCGUAUUCACGCUGCUCUGCACAGACUCCCAAGAAGCUCUCGUGCAUGUAGUACGGGUCAGUGACACAGAUAUGACGUAUCUGCUCAACCCCAAUGAUGUAGUUCAUGUGCAAGGCAUAAAGGCGGACAAAUGUAAAAUCCAGCUUCUUCACGUGAAACAUGUCGAAUAUGUAAUCGAAUCGGAGGAAGAACUUAUCCGCAGCGAAGCUGUCGACGUAUGACAUUUUCCGCGGAACGUUAUCCACGUAGAGUGGGUAUCCUGGAUCUUUCGAGGCAAUGAGGCAUUUCUCUACCCGUAGCACAUCAUCAUGAAGUCUCCUUAGAUCGCCGAAUCUGGCCCGUAGCGCUGUUGCAGGUAGGAUUGGUUGACCGGGGAUAUGCCAUUUAUCCGCAUCGGGGAUAUCUAGACGGUCCUGAAGCUGAGGCUGCUGAGGCGGCUGGAUCAUAGAAUCAACUUUUUUUCCUUUCCUCGCUCUCUUCCUAGACUUCUUUACUACCGGAAAGUCGUCAAUAACACAUUGAGACGGUAAUUCAGGCACCGACUCAUGAUGCUCAAACCCUGAGGAGGCGCCAGUAUAGACAUACUGUUCAGCGCCAUCGUCAUCCUCAUCCUCAUCCAUGGCGACGUCAUCAGCGACUAAUGGAGCCUCCUCCUUACCCCGUCCGCUAUCACCCAACCCGACACCCAACGCUAAUUGGGUAGGUGGGGUGUUGAUGUUCAUACCUUGCUGAGACUGCGUGCUCGUGGGUGUGCUCCCGGCCGCCUCCAGACGAAGCAGACUCUUUGGCCACAACAGGACCUACCCAUUGCAACAAUCACCAAGCCGCUGCGGUGUCUCCUCGUCAUCCACCAAUAGUGUUGGAGGAGGCAAAUUCUCGUGGCCCGGUUCGACACUGGCCAUGGAAACCUUGAAGACGUUUGGGGGAAUCGGCCGGCUGUGGAACAAUGGUUCCUUCGGCUUCAUUAUCGUCGCCUUCCCCAUGGCCACCUUCUGGUCCCCGAUGGUGUACAAUAUGGUGCGCGGGGUUUCGUCGGCCUGCAAAGAGAAGUCUGCGACGUGAGACAUUCGAAAGGCAACGAAAACGGGAGAUUAUACAUUUAUAUUGAAGGGGGCCGGUGUGACAGAUACCGUGAGGGCGUCGAGCUCAGCCAAAGACAAAGCACCGCCGAGCACGUCCGGUGCGGGAGCCGGUGCGGGAGCAGGUGCUCCCAAGAAGUCAGCAAGGGGAAAGUCCUCUGCAUUUUUUUCUGGAUUUUUCCUUGUCCAAGUGAUAACGCCCGUCACCAAGGAAGUAGACAAAUCUGCAACCGCCUGUUUUGCGGCAGCUACCGCUGUUGCGACUGUCUGAGAUGAUUUCUUCUCAACCGCAAUCUCAACCUUCUUGUCGAUGUUUUUUUCAGUUAACCUCCGUCUUUCCUUUCUCUCCUCUGUGGUCUCCCGGUAGUACUUCUUCCACGUGGCGCCGUCUCCGACACCGUGCACGCGUCCAUACGAUGGUCGAGUAUCCAUCGGUUGUCGUUUCAAUAUGUUCAACGUCCGGUUGAAUGGAGUGUCCCACUUGGGCCUCGCCAAUGCCUCAGACGGCGAGUCGUUUUCGACCGCAAUCCGGUGCUGCUCUCUCUGCAAAAGGCACAAGGAUCGUUUACAAAUAUGACUAACGUGUGCAGUCGAAUUGAUCAGAAACUAAAAUUACCAGCAGUCUCAUGAACUCCGUAAUGACCGGUGUUGUCUCAUAAACCUUCUUCACUGGGUCCCAACGGUGCCGAGCCCUCAGGACGUCACGCUCCUGCGGGACAGUGAAAUCCGCCAAGGGGUCUGGGAUGCCCAGACUCGCGGCUUCCGCGUCCUCCUUGGCCCAUUUGGACCUCUUUCCGCCGUAACCACGCUUCCGAGGUGGUGGCUCCCAAUGUUCCUCUUUUGAAGCCCCUUCAUGUACUUAGACUUUUUUUGGCAGCUUCGGCCUCGCAAGCCUCCUUGAAUAUUUGAAACUGCUCUUCCGUGAUUGUCAGAUUAUCCUUUACAAUCUCGGAGUAGGGUUCCCCGUCGUUGAUCUUUGCUUUCACUCAAUUUUUCCAGGCGGCCAACGCGUCGCUAAACUUGGUCAUGGCGUGUUUGUUUAUCUUCUUCAUUGCGGGGUCCUCGUCUGGAUCUUCAUAAUCCUUCUCAUUCCGGCCCGGGAACAAGAAUAUCUGGUGAAACUUCUUUAGAAGGGAGCUCCUCAUAUUUUCUAUCUUCUAUAGUUUCUCAUCAUUGAUGGUGGCGGUUGUCCGUAUGAUGCAGCCUAUUUGAUUGCCGUAGCACGCGCGCGCUUCCUCGGGCGCCUUUGGCUCAAAAUUGCCGUCGUCCACCUCUGUGACCACCAGUCUAGUAGUCCUGAGUUUGUUAGGAACCCGUUGCUUCUUUGCGUUCGGUUCUACACCAGCUCCGCUCCCCGAGACAGCACCGGUCUCAGCGCCGCUCUCGAUGCCGGUCUGAAUCUCAGCGCCGGUCUCAGUCUCAGCACCGGUCUGCGUGUCGGUCUCAGUCCCCGAUGCCACUGGUGGGCCCAGCAACAACAUCGGUUGAUCGUCGGUAAGGCUAAAAUAUUCAUCUGCCACCAGGUAGACGUCGUCGCAAUCACCAGAACCCUGUCCUUCAUCGUUGCUAGCCAUGUUUCCUAUCAUUAAAUCUAGUCAAUUAAUUCUAGACCUAAUAAAAUGAAUAAUGACAUAAAAAAGGACUAUUGUUUUGCAGGAAUGUUGACUCCUUCCUGGUGCGGAAAAUCCCGGCACUCGAUAUGUCCUAGUUUGUAGCACAAGUCAUGCCGAAAUUCACGGAAAAUUUUGGCAUGGCCUUUGCUAAAAAGUGGACAAAUCGAGAACCUGAAAUUUGUCGGAACAGAAAUGAAUCAACAUUCCGGCAAAACAUAGGCCACUCAGCAUCAUUCCCUGGAAACAACAAAGCCACUUGGGCACAAUCGAACAACUUCAAUGAAAAGAUAUAACAUGAGCAAACACUAUUGAGGAAUUUGCAUAUAACAUGGCCACUUCAAUGAAAAGAUAUAAUCAACAAUAACGGAAUAUGCAAAUGAACAUCAAUGACAUAUAGCUACUGUUCUGUUUGACCAAGUUUUUGAAAAGAAAAACAAUUCUGUUUUUUGUUUAUAGCUAAAUGCCAUAGCUACUAUUUUUUAUUUAUAGCUAAAUACUUUUGUUUUUUGUCUAAAGCUAAAAGUCUAGGAACUACAUUUUCUCUAACCCUUUUGACCUCACCAGAAUUUUCACAGCAAGACCUUAGUACCUACACCCAAUUUCUUCAAAAAUAUUCAGGUCCAUAGUCCAAAUAAUUCAAAUUUCAUUUGAAUGAAAUUUGGAACAAAUUCAGGUCCGUAGUCAAAAUAUUUUUUUAUAGCUAAGUGUUUUUUGUUUAUACCCUCUGUUAAUUUAAAUCUAAAUGCUACUAUUAUUUAUAUACCCUCUAUUAGUUUAAAGCUAAAUGGAAUUACUGUUUAGGAAUUUUCAUAAAAAUUGCCCUAGCUAAUUUCCUAAAAAAAUUGCAAAUCAUUUUUCCUAAAUGCUAUAAAAUGCCUACUGCCCUAAAAAAAUCUAGGGUUCAUAUGAACACCUAGGGUUCAUAUGAACAUCAACACAGUAUCAACAUAUAUAUAUAUAAUUGCCCUAGCAGAGAGAAAUAGGAGGGUAGGGACAGGAGAGGCAUAGCCUUACGGUCGGCGUUGAGGGCAGGCUCUGGCUCGGGCAGCGGCGGUGAGGUCAAGGGCGGCGGCGGCGAGCUCGAGGGAGGCGACAGUGAGGUCGACGGUGACAGCCUCGGGUGGCGGCUGUGAGGUCGAGGGGGCGGCCUCGGGCGGCGGCCUCGGGCGGCGGCAGUGUGGUCAAAGGCGGCGGGCGGCGGCGGUGUGGUCGAAGGCGGCCUCCGGCGGUGGCGGUGUGGUCGAAGGCGCGCGGCAGGGCAACGGCGGCGAUGAAGCAGUUGGGGGACAGGGGGGAGUAGAGAGGGGGGAAAGGACUUAGCAAAAUUUUGAGCCAGGGCCGCCGGGAUUUGAGUCAAACUAGCAGCAGCGCGUUUUGACGAAACGCGCUAUAGCUAAGAUAGCUAUAGCGUGUUCCAGAGAAAUGCGCUACAGCUAACCCUUUCUGUUUUCUUUCUCUUUUUAUUUUGUUUUCUUUACAUUUUCUUUUUUUCAUUUCUCCUUUUUCUAUUUCUUUCAUUUUCAUUUACUUUUCUACUUAAUUUUCUAUUUAUUUUCCUUUACAUAGCAGUAGCGCUGUAAAGAAGAAACGCGCUGCUACAAUGUUUUUAACAGUAGCGUGCUUCUGGGAGAAGCGCUGCUACUAUUCCUAGCCUACCGGCACCAGUGAGAGAAUUUUAGUAGUAGCGCUUUUUUGUGGAGAAGCGCUACUACUAAAAUAAUGAUUGUAGCGUGGUUUUGCAACAAGCGCUACUACUAAGUAGCGCUAGCGCCGAGUUUUGACCAACGCUACUGCUAUACCUCUGUGUAUAGCAUUUUCCCUAGUAGUGAUACUCUCCUCUCAGUUGACCAACAGCUUGUCUUCCACAUCUAAUUCACGGGAUCUCCGAUCACAAAGAAUGGGUUACCACUGUGGACACCUCAUAUUGUGGGUCUCAUUCCCAUCUCCAUCGAUGCAUUAUCUAUCACAUUACGUGAUAGACCCUUAGUAAAAGGAUCUGCCAGAUUUUUAGACGUUUGGAUAUAAUCCAAUGCAAUAACUCUCGAGUUUUUCAUUUUUCUGACAGACUUUAACCUUCUCUGAACGUGUCUUGAUGACUUCAUGUUAUCCUUUGAGCUGCUCACUUUAGUGAUCACAGUUUGAUUGUCACAGUUCAUCCGGAUACCCGGUACAGGUUUCUCAACUACCGGUAAGUCAUUCAAGAGCCGACGAAGCCAAUCUGCUUCGACCGUAGUUGUAUCUAGUGCUGUGAGUUCUGCUUCCAUUGUUGACCUCGUUAAAAUGGUCUGCUUGCAAGACUUCCAAGAAACAGCGCCACCUCCAUGAGUGAAUACAUAACCGCUCGUGGCCUUUAUCUCAUCAACAUCUGAGAUCCAGUCUGAGUCAAUAUACCCUUCAAGCACCUUUGGAUGCCUAGUGUAGUGAAUUCCAUAAUUUGCAGUGCUUUCAAAUAACGCAAAACUCUCUCUAGAGCUUUCCAAUGCACAUCUCCUGGUUUUGAGACAAACCGGCUCAGUUAGCUAACAGCAAAAGAGAUGUCAGGUCUCGUAGCACUGGCUAAGUACAUAAGCGAGCCAAUAAUGUGUGAAUAUUCCAAUUGGUCUCUAGCAAUUCUUCGAUUCUUUCGAAGCAACACACUAGCAUCAUAUGGUCUUGGAGAGGGCUUGCAGUCACUGUAGCCAAAGCGACUCAAGAUCUUUUCCCCAUAGUGAGACGGAAGCAAUGUAAUCCCACCAUCAUCAUCUCUCAACAACUUGAUGUUCAGAAUGACGUCAGCCACUCCUAAAUCCUUCUUCUCAAAACAGCGAGAUAGGAAAUCCUUGACCUCCUUAAGAACAUUUAGAUUUGUUCCGAAAAUCAGUAUGUCAUCAACAUACAAGCAAAGCAUAACUCCCUCGCCCCCACCAUGGCGAUAGUACACACAUUUGUUAGCUUCGUUCACAACAAAGCCUGCAGCUGUUAAAGUUCUUUCGAACUUCUCAUGCCACUGUUUGGGUGCUUGCUUGAGUCCAUACAAAGACUUCAGCAACUUGCACACUUUCCCUUCCUAACCAUCUAUUACAAACCCAUCUGGUUGUUCCAUAUAAAUUUCCUCAUCCAACUCUCCAUUUAGGAAAGCAGUCUUAACAUCCAUUUGAUGAACGAGAAGACCAUGUGAGGCAGCUAGUGAAAGUUUAACUCGAAUAGUGGUCAGUCGAGCCACAGGUGAGUAAGUAUCAAAGAAGUCUUCACCUUCCUUUUAGGUAUAACCCUUUGCCACGAGCUGAGCCUUGUACUUUUCAAUAGUACCAUCAGGCCUAAGUUUCUUCUUGAAUACCCAUUUGCAUCCUAUAGGUUUGCACCAUAAGGACGAUCAGUUAUCUCCCAAGUUUCAUCCGCCAAGAUGGAAUCCAUCUCGCUACGAACCGCUUCCUUCCAGUAGUCAGCAUCUUCCGAUGCAUAGGCCUCCAAAAUAGAACUGGGAGUGUCAUCUAUGAGAUACACAAGAAAAUCAUCACCCAAGGACUUUGCUGUCCUCUGUCUCUUACUCCUAGUAGGAACUUCAUUGUUCUCCUCCACAGGCCUUUCAAAGUGUUCCAUCGAAAUGGCAGGUUCAGUAAUUGUAACUGGUUCCUGAUUCGAUGAACUAGGCAUCUCCUGAUUAGAUGAGGUAGCCAUAUCCUUCAUGGGAAAGAUAUCUUCAAAGAAAGUCGCAUCAUUCGACUCCAUGAUCGUACUGACAUGCAUGUCAGAUACCUCAGAUUUUACAACCAAGAAUAUAUAGCCAAUGCUAUGAAAAGCAUAUCCCAGGAAAACACAAUCCACAGUCUUUGGUCCAAGCUUCCGCUUCUUUGGAAUUGGAACAUUGACUUUCGCCAAGCAACCCCAUGUUCGCAGAUAAGAGAGUCUUAACCUUUUCUUCUCCCAUUCCUCGAAUGGAGUUAUCUCUUUGUUCUUUGUGGGAACUCGAUUUAGGACAUGACAUGCUGUCAAUAUCGUCUCCCCCCACCAUGCCUUGGAGAGACCCGAUGUGCAUAACAUGGCGUUAACGAAAUCAGUUAGAGUACGGUUCUUUCUUUCGGCCACCCCAUUUGACUGAGGUGAGUAGGGAGGCGUCCUCUCAUGGAUUAUACCAUGUUCCGCACAAAAAGCAUCAAAUUCAUUGGAAAAAUACUCUCCACCACGGUCAGACCUAAGCCUCUUGAUUUUUCGAUCAAGUUGGUUUUCCACUUCAGCUUUAUAGAUCUUGAAAAAGUUCAAAGCCUCAUCCUUAGAUUUCAGAAGAUACACAUGGCAGUAUCUAGUGGAGUCGUCAAUUAACGUCAUGAAAUAUUUCUUUCCACCUUUUGUCAAAACACCAUUCAUUUCACAUAGAUCUGAAUGUAUAAGUUCUAGUGGUGCAAGAUUUCUCGUCUCCGCAGUCACGUGAGACUUACGAGGUUGCUUAGCUUGCACACACACUUGACACUUAGAUCCUUGACAGUGGUGAAACUAGGGAUUAAGUUCAACUUCGCUAGUCGCGACAUGCAACCAAAGUUAACAUGACAAAGACGUGAAUGCCACACAUUUGAUUCACUAUUGUUGCAAAUAUGAUUAACAACUUUAUUGCAAAUGUCUGAUAAGGAUAAACGAAACAGGCCUCCUGACUCAUAGCCUUUACCAACAAAGGUCCCAUACUUGGAUAUUACAAAUUUAUUCGACUCAAAGACAAGCUUAUAGCCAUCUCUACACAGAAGAGAUCCGCUAACAAGAUUUUUAUUGACGGAGGGGACAUAAUGCACGUUCUUCAGCCGCACGAUCUUCCCUGAAGUAAACUUCAGAUCAACCAUGCCAACACCACGAACAGAAGCACUUGAACUGUUGCCCAUCAGCACGGUUGAAGUCCCUGCGGUCUGAUAAGAUGAAAACAUGGAAAUAUCACCGUAUACAUGCACAUUAGCACCCAUGUCAAUCAACCAACCAGGAGAAUGACAUACUGAAAGAAUAGUGGGAAAUAUACCAUACCCAACAUCUUUCAUGUCAAUGUCUCCGAUGACAACAUUAGCGGUCUUGCCGCCUUUCCCAGGAUGACGCUUGUCAUAGCGAUUAGGACAACUAGGAGCCCAAUGAUCAGGAUCUCCAAACACAUGACAAGCACCUUUCUUAUUGUCAUUCUUCUUCUUGAAGUUCAUGUGCUGCACAGCCUUGUUCUUCCCAUCGAACUUUGCUUUACCAUCAAACUUGCCCUUGUUCUUGAACUUGUGGGACUGGAAGUUCUUCUUCUGUACCAGAUUGGCACUAGAUCCUCCCUCAAUACCUCGAGCACAUGUGUCCUUUGCUCUCGCCUUUUCUUCCACAUAAGAGUACCAAUGAGAUCCGGGAUGGAAAACUCCUGUCUCUUAUGCUUCAGUGAGGUAGCAAAGUUCCUCCAUGAAGGAGGAAGCUUAGUGAUGAUACCCCCGGCAACAAACUUGUCCGGUAAGAUACAAUUGAAGUGCUCAAGUUCUCUAGCAAAAGACUGUAUCUCAUGAGCCUGCUCAACCACGGAGCGCUCUUCAGUCAUCCUGUAAUCAUAGAAUUAUUCCAUGAUGUACAGCUCAGUGCCGGCAUCCGAGACCCCAAACUUGGCCUCGAGUGUGUCCCACAUAUCUUUUCAUUGUCAAUUGACGCAUAAGCAUCAACUAUGUUCUCACCAAGAACACUCAAAAGAGCAGCCUUAAACAAGGUAUCCAUUUUCUGGAAAGCUUGUGCCUGUUGGGCAUCUUGCUCUCCUUCGGGUUUGCCAAGAGUGGCAUCAUAGAAACUCAUGGUUUGAAACCAUAAGACUGCUCUCACACGCCACUUCUUAUAGUGGAUACCCUCAAACAUAGGAGGUCUCAUGGAAGCAGCAAAAUCACUCGGGGUAAAUUGCCUAUAAUAAGGUUUUUGGAUUGUUGGAAAUAUGAGCAAUUUACCGAAUGAUUUUAUUAACAAAAAUACUAGAUAAAGCAUGACUAAAAUAGCAAAUAUAAAGCAAGUCAUGCAGUCUGACAGAGAGAAGGUAAACAUCGUCUGCAUAUAUGAACUUGAGCUAAACACAGCUAGAACAGACACUAGAUGAAGUUGCUUAUACGAAACAGAACCUAACAUACGUAGGGCAGAAACUAGAGCCAAGAACUAUAGCAGGACUUCUAACAGAAAGGAGAAGAACACGUACGGCACAGCAGCAGCAGAAGCGCUGGACUUGGGGUUGGUGUCCUUGCCUGCCAUGUCAUCGAGGAGGUCAUGGACGUCAGGGAAGAAGUCGUCGUCGGGGAAGUAGUCGUUGGCGACCGGAUCGUCUGUGAUGAAGCAGCCAGUAGUCGCACUAAGUGCUCCCCAAAAACCUUAUCACCCUUCUCCCGUACAGGACUCAAAAGGUGCGGUCGCGAAAGCCUACUGUCCCGACGUGCGGUGCACGCCACAAGUCGGGAUGAGGAAGACAGCAGCAGCUCAGAGAUGGAACCGAUGGCGAGGGAAGGAGCAGUUCUGGUGCGUCUCUCUGAGAGGAGCGACCUCCCUUUUAUAGGCGCAAGAGAAGGAGGCGAGAGGCUGCGCCGGGAGCUGAAGGGAAUGCGGGAGACGAAACAAACAGGCAGCAGCCGAAGGGGCGCGCCGUUCGGAUUCAGUGUCCAGGCACAGAAAAAAAAUGUUUCAGCUUCCGAGUGACCUUUCGUAUACCCGUAGUGCGUGGCAAAAAUUUAGACAUCGGCUCGGCUCAUUCCCGCAACCCGCGGCGCGGCGCAUCGUGAUGAGGCGUGGUGAGGCGGGCGGCGGAGGAGGAGCACGCGUGGAUGUCCCUCUUGUUCUCAUGCUCAUACAAGUGGGGAAGGAGCCUCCCUUAUAAAGAGGUCCAACUCCCUCUAAACUAGCAAGGUGGGACUAAACUUUAGUUCCACCUCUUGCCUUGCACGAAUGGGCUGCGUGGGCCUCUAGGAUUUAUUAGGAAUUUCUAAAAUUGCUAUUGGGCUAGGCCCAAAUAGACAAAAAUUCCAGCAAUCCCCCACCAGAUCCCAGAGGCACACAAAAUUUGCCUUUGGUUCCAAAACACUGUUUUAUAUACUGGUACAGCAGUGGAGACUGUUAAGUUGAACUUCCACCUAGAACCCUAUGCUACACUAGUAAGCAACUUGAACAGUGGACUGGGCCUUGAACUGCAAGUUUUCUGCAAAUCUAGCUUCACAUAAGGCCUUGACCGAUACGUGGCUACCGUGGGUCUUCCCCGUGGGUGGAGCUUAUGCGUCAUACUCCGUGACCUUUCAUUAGUUUACUAGAGAGAACCCUACUCUCAUAGAUUGCGACGUUUAACAAUCAGACUCAUAUAGGUGCGUUCUUCAAAAGAUGUUCUGCAGGACAACAUCUCUGCUUCAAAAAGCCACUUAGAACACAUUAAGAUAUAAAUCAACCUGCCAUGCAGAUUAGGAGAGUAUUGCAUCUUCAUGGAGUGGUAUUUUAACAGUAUGGAUACUCUCCUCUCAGUUGACCAACAACUUGUCUUCCACAUCUAAUUCACGGGAUCUCCGAUCAUAAAGAAUAGGUUACCACUAUGAACAACUCAUAUUGUGGGUCUCAUUCCCAUCUCCCUCGAUGCAUUAUCUAUCACAUUACGUGAUAGACCGUUAGUAAAAGGAUCUGCCAGAUUUUUAGACGUUUGGAUAGAAUCCAAUGCAAUAACUCUGGAGUUUUUCAUUUUUCUGACAGACUUUAACCUUCUCUGAACGUGUCUUGAUGACUUCAUGUUAUCCUUUGAGUUGCUCACUUUAGUGAUCACAGUUUGAUUGUCACAGUUCAUCCGGAUACCCGGUAUAGGUUUCUCAACUACCGGUAAGUCAUUCAAGAGCCGACGAAGCCAAUCUGCUUCGACCGUACCUGUAUCUAGUGUUGUGAGUUCUGCUUCCAUUGUUGACCUCGUUAAGAUGGUCUGCUUGCAAGACUUCCAAGAAACAGCGCCACCUCCAUGAGUGAAUACAUAACCGCUCGUGGCCUUUAUCUCAUCAGCAUCUGAGAUCCAGUUUGAGUCACUAUACCCUUCAAGCACCUUUGGAUGCCAAGUGUAGUGAAUUCCAUAAUUUGCAGUGCCUUUUAAAUAACGCAAAACUCUCUCUAGAGCUUUCCAAUGCACAUCUCCUGGUUUUGAGACAAACCGGCUUAGUUAGCUAACAGCAAAAGAGAUGUCAGGUCUCGUAGCACUGGCUAAGUACAUAAGCGAGCCAAUAAUCUGUGAAUAUUUCAAUUGGUCUCUAGUGAUUCUUCGAUUCUUUCGAAGCAACACACUAGCAUCAUAUGGUGUUGGAGAGGGCUUGCAGUCACUGUAGCCAAAGCGGCUCAAGAUCUUUUCCACAUAGUGAGAUUGAAGCAAUGUAAUCCCACAAUCAUCAUCUCUCAAAAACUUGAUGUUCAGAAUGACAUCAGCCACUCCUAAAUCCUUCAUCUCAAAACAGCAAGAUAGGAAAUCCUUGACCUCCUUAAGAACAUUCAGAUCUGUUCCGAAAAUCAGUAUGUCAUCAACAUACAAGCAAAGCAUAACUCCCUUGCCCCCACCAUGGCGAUAGUACACACAUUUGUCAGCUUCGUUCACAACAAAGCCUGCAGCUAUUAAAGUUCUUUCGAACUUCUCAUGCCACUGUUUGGGUGCUUGCUUGAGUCCAUACAAAGACUUCAGCAACUUGCACACUUUCCCUUCCUGGCCAUCUAUUACAAACCCCUCUGGUUGUUCCAUAUAAAUUUCCUCAUCCAAAUCUCCAUUUAGGAAAGCAGUCUUAACAUCCAUUUGAUGAACGAGAAGACCAUGUGAGGCAGCUAGUGAAAGUAGACCUCGAAUAGUGGUCAGUCGAGCCACAGGUGAGUAAGUAUCAAAGAAGUCUUCACCUUCCUUUUGGUUAUAACCCUUUGCCACGAGCCGAGCCUUGUACUUUUCAUUAGUACCAUCAGGCCUAAGUUUCUUCUUGAAUACCCAUUUGCAUCCUAUAGGUUUGCACCCAUAAGGACGAUCAGUUAUCUCCCAAGUUUCAUUCGCCAAGAUGGAAUCCAUCUCGCUACGAAUCGCUUCCUUCCAGUAGUCAGCAUCUUCCGAUGCAUAGGCAUCCGAAAUAGAACUGGGAGUGUCAUCUAUGAGAUACACAAGAAAAUCAUCACCAAAGGACUUUGCUGUCCUCUGUCUCUUGCUCCUAGUAGGAACUUCAUUGUUCUCCUCCGCAGGACUUUCAAAGUGUUCCAUCGAAAUGGCAGGUUCAGUAAUUGUAACUGGUUCCUGAUUCGAUGAACUAGGCAUCUCCUAAUUAGAUGAGGUAGCCAUAUCCUUCAUGGGAAUGAUAUCUUCAAAGAAAGUCGCAUCAUUCGACUCCAUGAUCGUACCGACAUGCAUGUCAGAUACCUCAGAUUUUACAACCAAGAAUCUAUAGCCAAUGCUGUGAAAAGCAUAUCCCAGGAAAACACAAUCCACAGUCUUUGGUCCAAGCUUCCGCUUCUUUGGAAUUGGAACAUUGACUUUCGCCAAGCAACCGCAUGUUCGCAGAUAAGAGAGUUUUAACCUUUUCUUCUCCCAUUCCUCGAAUGGAGUUAUCUCUUUGUUCUUUGUGGGGACUCGAUUUAGGACAUGACAUGCUGUCAAUAUCGCCUCCCCCCACCAUGCCUUGGAGAGACCCGAUGUGGCGUUAACCAAAUCAGUUAGAGUACGGUUCUUUCUUUCGGCCACCCCAUUUGACUGAGGUGAGUAGGGAGGCGUCCCCUCAUGGAUUAUACCAUGUUCUGCACAAAAAGCAUCAAAUUCAUUGGAAAAAUACUCUCCACCACGGUCAGACCUAAGCCUCUUGAUUUUUCGAUCAAGUUGGUUUUCCACUUCAGCUUUAUAGAUCUUGAAAAAGUUCAAAGCCUCAUCCUUACAUUUCAGAAGAUACACAUGGCAGUAUCUAGUGGAGUCAUUAAUUAACGUCAUGCAAUAUUUCUUUCCACCUUUUGUCAAAACACCAUUCAUUUCACAUAGAUCUGAAUGUAUAAGUUCUAGUGGUGCAAGAUUUCUCGUCUCCGUAGUCACGUGAGACUUACGAGGUUGCUUAGCUUGCACACACACUUGACACUUAGAUCCUUGACAGUGGUGAAACUAGGGAUUAAGUUCAACUUCGCUAGUCGCGACAUGCAACCAAAGUUAACAUGACAAAGACGUGAAUGCCACACAUUUGAUUCACUAUUGUUGCAAAUAUGAUUAACAACUUUAUUGCAAACGUCUGAUAAGGAUAAACGAAACAGGCCUCCUGACUCAUAGCCUUUACCAACAAAGGUCCCAUACUUGGAUAUUACAAAUUUAUUCGACUCAAAGACAAGCUUAUAGCCAUCUCUACACAGAAGAGAUCCGCUAACAAGAUUUUUAUUGACGGAGGGGACAUAAUGCACGUUCUUCAGCCGCACGAUCUUCCCUGAAGUAAACUUCAGAUCAACCAUGCCAACACCACGAACAGAAGCACUUGAACUGUUGCCCAUCAGCACGGUUGAAGUCCCUGCGGUCUGAUAAGAUGAAAACAUGGAAAUAUCACCGCAUACAUGCACAUUAGCACCCAUGUCAAUCAACCAACCAGGAGAAUGACAUACUGAAAGAAUAGUGGGAAAUAUACCAUACCCAGCAUCUUUCAUGUCAAUGUCUCCGAUGACAACAUUAGCGGUCUUGCCGCCUUUCCCAGGAUGACGCUUGUCAUAGCGAUUAGGACAACUAGGAGCCCAAUGAUCAGGAUCUCCAAACACAUGACAAGCACCUUUCUUAUUGUCAUUCUUCUUCUUGAAGUUCAUGUGCUGCACAGCCUUGUUCUUCCCAUCGAACUUUGCUUUACCAUCAAACUUGCCCUUGUUCUUGAACUUGUGGGACUGGAAGUUCUUCUUCUGUACCAGAUUGGCACUAGAUCCUCCCUCAAUACCUCGAGCACGUGUGUCCUUUGCUCUCGCCUUUUCUUCCACAUAAGAGUACCAAUGAGAUCCGGGAUGGAAAACUCCUGUCUCUUAUGCUUCAGUAAGGUAGCAAAGUUCCUCCAUGAAGGAGGAAGCUUAGUGAUGAUACCCCCGGCAACAAACUUGUCCGGUAAGAUACAAUUGAAGUGCUCAAGUUCUCUAGCAAAAGACUGUAUCUCAUGAGCCUGCUCAACCACGGAGCGCUCUUCAGUCAUCCUGUAAUCAUAGAAUUAUUCCAUGAUGUACAGCUCAGUGCCGGCAUCCGAGACCCCAAACUUGGCCUCGAGUGUGUCCCACAUAUCUUUUCAUUGUCAAUUGAAGCAUAAGCAUCAACUAUGUUCUCACCAAGAACACUCAAAAGAGCAGCCUUAAACAAGGUAUCCAUUUUCUGGAAAGCUUGUGCCUGUUGGGCAUCUUGCUCUCCUUCAGGUUUGCCAAGAGUGGCAUCAUAGAAACUCAUGGUUUGAAACCAUAAGACUGCUCUCACACGCCACUUCUUAUAGUGGAUACCCUCAAACAUAGGAGGUCUCAUGGAAGCAGCAAAAUCACUCGGGGUAAAUUGCCUAUAAUAAGGUUUUUGGAUUGUUGGAAAUAUGAGCAAUUUACCGAAUGAUUUUAUUAACAAAAAUACUAGAUAAAGCAUGACUAAAAUAGCAAAUAUAAAGCAAGUCAUGUAGUCUGACAGAGAGAAGGUAAACAUCGUCUGCAUAUAUGAACUUGAGCUAAACACAGCUAGAACAGACACUAGAUGAAGUUGCUUAUACGAAACAGAACCUAACAUACGUAGGGCAGAAACUAGAGCCAAGAACUAUAGCAGGACUUCUAACAGAAAGGAGAAGAACACGUACGGCACAGCAGCAGCAGAAGCGCUGGACUUGGGGUUGGUGUCCUCGCCUGCCAUGUCAUCGAGGAGGUCAUGGACGUCAGGGAAGAAGUCGUCGUCGGGGAAGUAGUCGUCGGCGACCGGAUCGUCUGUGAUGAAGCAGCCAGUAGUCGCACUAAGCGCUCCCCAAAAACCUUAUCACCCUUCUCCCGUACAGGACUCAAAAGGGGCGGUCGCGAAAGCCUACUGUCCCGACGUGCGGUGCACGCCACAAGUCGGGAUGAGGAAGACAGCAGCAGCUCAGAGAUGGAACCGAUGGCGAGGGAAGGAGCAGUUCUGGUGCGUCUCUCUGAGAGGAGCGACCUCCCUUUUAUAGGCGCAAGAGAAGGAGGCGAGAGGCUGCGCCGGGAGCUGAAGGGAAUGCGGGAGACGAAACGAACAGGCAGCAGCCGAAGGGGCGCGCCGUUCGGAUUCAGUGUCCAGGCACAGAAAAAAAAUGUUUCAGCUUCCGAGUGACCUUUCGUAUACCCGUAGUGCGUGGCAAAAAUUUAGACAUCGGCUCGGCUCAUUCCCGCAACCCGCGGCGCGGCGCAUCGUGAUGAGGCGUGGUGAGGCGGGCGGCGGAGGAGGAGCACGCGUGGAUGUCCCUCUUGUUCUCAUGCUCAUACAAGUGGGGAAGGAGCCUCCCUUAUAAAGAGGUCCAACUCCCUCUAAACUAGCAAGGUGGGACUAAACUUUAGUUCCACCUCUUGCCUUGCACGAAUGGGCUGCGUGGGCCUCUAGGAUUUAUUAGGAAUUUCUAAAAUUGCUAUUGGGCUAGGCCCAAAUAGACAAAAAUUCCAGCAAUCCCCCACCAGAUCCCAGAGGCACACAAAAUUUGCCUUUGGUUCCAAAACACUGUUUUAUAUACUGGUACAGCAGUGGAGACUGUUAAGUUGAACUUCCACCUAGAACCCUAUGCUACACUAGUAAGCAACUUGAACAGUGGACUGGGCCUUGAACUGCAAGUUUUCUGCAAAUCUAGCUUCACAUAAGGCCUUGACCGAUACGUGGCUACCGUGGGUCUUCCCCGUGGGUGGAGCUUAUGCGUCAUACUCCGUGACCUUUCAUUAGUUUACUAGAGAGAACCCUACUCUCAUAGAUUGCGACGUUUAACAAUCAGACUCAUAUAGGUGCGUUCUUCAAAAGAUGUUCUGCAGGACAACAUCUCUGCUUCAAAAAGCCACUUAGAACACAUUAAGAUAUAAAUCAACCUGCCAUGCAGAUUAGGAGAGUAUUGCAUCUUCAUGGAGUGGUAUUUUAACAGUAUGGAUACUCUCCUCUCAGUUGACCAACAACUUGUCUUCCACAUCUAAUUCACGGGAUCUCCGAUCAUAAAGAAUAGGUUACCACUAUGAACAACUCAUAUUGUGGGUCUCAUUCCCAUCUCCCUCGAUGCAUUAUCUAUCACAUUACGUGAUAGACCCUUAGUAAAAGGAUCUGCCAGAUUUUUAGACGUUUGGAUAUAAUCCAAUGCAAUAACUCUGGAGUUUUUCAUUUUUCUGACAGACUUUAACCUUCUCUGAACGUGUCUUGAUGACUUCAUGUUAUCCUUUGAGUUGCUCACUUUAGUGAUCACAGUUUGAUUGUCACAGUUCAUCCGGAUACCCGGUACAGGUUUCUCAACUACCGGUAAGUCAUUCAAGAGCCGACGAAGCCAAUCUGCUUCGACCGUACCUGUAUCUAGUGUUGUGAGUUCUGCUUCCAUUGUUGACCUCAUUAAGAUGGUCUGCUUGCAAGACUUCCAAGAAACAGCGCCACCUCCAUGAGUGAAUACAUAACCGCUCGUGGCCUUUAUCUCAUCAGCAUCUGAGAUCCAGUUUGAGUCACUAUACCCUUCAAGCACCUUUGGAUGCCAAGUGUAGUGAAUUCCAUAAUUUGCAGUGCCUUUUAAAUAACGCAAAACUCUCUCUAGAGCUUUCCAAUGCACAUCUCCUGGUUUUGAGACAAACCGGCUUAGUUAGCUAAUAGCAAAAGAGAUGUCAGGUCUCGUAGCACUGGCUAAGUACAUAAGCGAGCCAAUAAUCUGUGAAUAUUUCAAUUGGUCUCUAGUGAUUCUUCGAUUCUUUCGAAGCAACACACUAGCAUCAUAUGGUCUUGGAGAGGGCUUGCAGUCACUGUAGCCAAAGCGGCUCAAGAUCUUUUCCACAUAGUGAGAUUGAAGCAAUGUAAUCCCACCAUCAUCAUCUCUCAACAACUUGAUGUUCAGAAUGACAUCAGCCACUCCUAAAUCCUUCAUCUCAAAACAGCAAGAUAGGAAAUCCUUGACCUCCUUAAGAACAUUCAGAUUUGUUCCGAAAAUCAGUAUGUCAUCAACAUACAAGCAAAGCAUAACUCCCUUGCCCCCACCAUGGCGAUAGUACACACAUUUGUCAGCUUCGUUCACAACAAAGCCUGCAGCUAUUAAAGUUCUUUCGAACUUCUCAUGCCACUGUUUGGGUGCUUGCUUGAGUCCAUACAAAGACUUCAGCAACUUGCACACUUUCCCUUCCUGGCCAUCUAUUACAAACCCCUCUGGUUGUUCCAUAUAAAUUUCCUCAUCCAAAUCUCCAUUUAGGAAAGCAGUCUUAACAUCCAUUUGAUGAACGAGAAGACCAUGUGAGGCAGCUAGUGAAAGUAGACCUCGAAUAGUGGUCAGUCGAGCCACAGGUGAGUAAGUAUCAAAGAAAUCUUCACCUUCCUUUUGGUUAUAACCCUUUGCCACGAGCCGAGCCUUGUACUUUUCAUUAGUACCAUCAGGCCUAAGUUUCUUCUUGAAUACCCAUUUGCAUCCUAUAGGUUUGCACCCAUAAGGACGAUCAGUUAUCUCCCAAGUUUCAUUCGCCAAGAUGGAAUCCAUCUCGCUACGAAUCGCUUCCUUCCAGUAGUCAGCAUCUUCCGAUGCAUAGGCAUCCGAAAUAGAACUGGGAGUGUCAUCUAUGAGAUACACAAGAAAAUCAUCACCAAAGGACUUUGCUGUCCUCUGUCUCUUGCUCCUAGUAGGAACUUCAUUGUUCUCCUCCGCAGGACUUUCAAAGUGUUCCAUCGAAAUGGCAGGUUCAGUAAUUGUAACUGGUUCCUGAUUCGAUGAACUAGGCAUCUCCUAAUUAGAUGAGGUAGCCAUAUCCUUCAUGGGAAUGAUAUCUUCAAAGAAAGUCGCAUCAUUCGACUCCAUGAUCGUACCGACAUGCAUGUCAGAUACCUCAGAUUUUACAACCAAGAAUCUAUAGCCAAUGCUGUGAAAAGCAUAUCCCAGGAAAACACAAUCCACAGUCUUUGGUCCAAGCUUCCGCUUCUUUGGAAUUGGAACAUUGACUUUCGCCAAGCAACCCCAUGUUCGCAGAUAAGAGAGUUUUAACCUUUUCUUCUCCCAUUCCUCGAAUGGAGUUAUCUCUUUGUUCUUUGUGGGGACUCGAUUUAGGACAUGACAUGCUGUCAAUAUCGCCUCCCCCCACCAUGCCUUGGAGAGACCCGAUGUGGCGUUAACCAAAUCAGUUAGAGUACGGUUCUUUCUUUCGGCCACCCCAUUUGACUGAGGUGAGUAGGGAGGCGUCCUCUCAUGGAUUAUACCAUGUUCUGCACAAAAAGCAUCAAAUUCAUUGGAAAAAUACUCUCCACCACAGUCAGACCUAAGCCUCUUGAUUUUUCGAUCAAGUUGGUUUUCCACUUCAGCUUUAUAGAUCUUGAAAAAGUUCAAAGCCUCAUCCUUACAUUUCAGAAGAUACACAUGGCAGUAUCUAGUGGAGUCAUUAAUUAACGUCAUGCAAUAUUUCUUUCCACCUUUUGUCAAAACACCAUUCAUUUCACAUAGAUCUGAAUGUAUAAGUUCUAGUGGUGCAAGAUUUCUCGUCUCCGCAGUCACGUGAGACUUACGAGGUUGCUUAGCUUGCACACACACUUGACACUUAGAUCCUUGACAGUGGUGAAACCAGGGAUUAAGUUCAACUUCGCUAGUCGCGACAUGCAACCAAAGUUAACAUGACAAAGACGUGAAUGCCACACAUUUGAUUCACUAUUGUUGCAAAUAUGAUUAACAACUUUAUUGCAAACGUCUGAUAAGGAUAAACGAAACAGGCCUCCUGACUCAUAGCCUUUACCAACAAAGGUCCCAUACUUGGAUAUUACAAAUUUAUUCGACUCAAAGACAAGCUUAUAGCCAUCUCUACACAGAAGAGAUCCGCUAACAAGAUUUUUAUUGACGGAGGGGACAUAAUGCAUGUUCUUCAGCCGCACGAUCUUCCCUGAAGUAAACUUCAGAUCAACCAUGCCAACACCACGAACAGAAGCACUUGAACUGUUGCCCAUCAGCACGGUUGAAGUCCCUGCGGUCUGAUAAGAUGAAAACAUGGAAAUAUCACCGCAUACAUGCACAUUAGCACCCAUGUCAAUCAACCAACCAGGAGAAUGACAUACUGAAAGAAUAGUGGGAAAUAUACCAUACCCAGCAUCUUUCAUGUCAAUGUGUCCGAUGACAACAUUAGCGGUCUUGCCGCCUUUCCCAGGAUGACGCUUGUCAUAGCGAUUAGGACAACUAGGAGCCCAAUGAUCAGGAUCUCCAAACACAUGACAAGCACCUUUCUUCUUGUCAUUCUUCUUCUUGAAGUUCAUGUGCUGCACAGCCUUGUUCUUCCCAUCGAACUUUGCUUUACCAUCAAACUUGCCCUUGUUCUUGAACUUGUGGGACUGAAAGUUCUUCUUCUGUACCAGAUUGGCACUAGAUCCUCCCUCAAUACCUCGGGCACGUGUGUCCUUUGCUCUCGCCUUUUCUUCCACAUAAGAGUACCAAUGAGAUCCGGGACGGAAAACUCCUGUCUCUUAUGCUUCAGUAAGGUAGCAAAGUUCCUCCAUGAAGGAGGAAGCUUAGUGAUGAUACCCCCGGCAACAAACUUGUCCGGUAAGAUACAAUUGAAGUUCUCAAGUUCUCUAGCAAAAGACUGUAUCUCAUGAGCCUGCUCAACCAUGGAGCGCUCUUCAGUCAUCCUGUAAUCAUAGAAUUAUUCCAUGAUGUACAGCUCAGUGCCGGCAUCCGAGACCCCAAACUUGGCCUCGAGUGUGUCCCACAUAUCUUUUCAUUGUCAAUUGACGCAUAAGCAUCAACUAUGUUCUCACCAAGAACACUCAAAAGAGCAGCCUUAAACAAGGUAUCCAUUUUCUGGAAAUCUUGUGCCUGUUGGGCAUCUUGCUCUCCUUCAGGUUUGCCAAGAGUGGCGUCAUAGAAACUCAUGGUUUGAAACCAUAAGACUGCUCUCACACGCCACCUCUUAUAGUGAAUACCCUCAAACAUAGGAGGUCUCAUGGAAGCAGCAAAAUCACUCAGGGUAAAUUGCCUAUAAUAAGGUUUUUGGAUUGUUGGAAAUAUGAGCAAUUUACCGAAUGAUUUUAUUAACAAAAAUACUAGAUAAAGCAUGACUAAAAUAGCAAAUAUAAAGCAAGUCAUGCAGUCUGAGAGAUAGAAGGUAAACAUCGUCUGCAUAUAUGAACUUGAGCUAAACACAUCUAGAACAGACACUAGAUGAAGUUGCUUAUACGAAACAGAACCUAACAUACGUAGGGCAAAAUCUAGAGCCAAGAACUGUAGCAGGACUUCUAACAGAAAGGAGAAGAACACGUACGGCACAGCAGCAGCAGAAGCGCUGGACUUGGGUUGCUGUCCUCGCCUGCCAUGUCAUCGAGGAGGUCAUGGACGUCAGGGAAGAAGUCGUCGUCGGCGGGGAAGUAGUCGUCGGCGACCGGAUCGUCUGUGAUGAAGCAGCCAGUAGUCGCACUGAGCACUCCCCAAAAACCUUAUCACCCUUCUCUCGUACAAGACUCAAAAGGUGCGGUCGCGAAAGCCUACUGUCCCGACGUGCGGUGCACGCCGCAAGUCGGGAUGAGGAAGACAGCAGCAGCUCAGAGAUGGAACCGAUGGCGAGGGAAGGAGCAGUUCUGGUGCGUCUCUCUGAGAGGAGCGACCUCCCUUUUAUAGGCGCAAGAGAAGGAGGCGAGAGGCUGCGCCGAGAGCUGAAGGGAAUGCGGGAGACGAAACGAACAGGCAGCAGCCGAAGGGGCGCACCAUUCGGAUUCAGUGUCCAGGCACAGAAAAAAAAUGUUUCAGCUUUCGAGUGACCUUUCGUAUACCCGUAGUGCGUGGCAAAAAUUUAGACAUCGGCUCGGCUCAUUCCCGCAACCCGCGGCGCGGCGCAUCGUGACGAGGCGUGGUGAGGCAGGCGGCGGAGGAGGAGCGCACGUGGAUGUCCCUCUUGUUCUCAUGCUCAUACAAGUGGGGAAGGAGCCUCCCUUAUAAAGAGGUCCAACUCCCUCUAAACUAGCAAGGUGGGACUAAACUUUAGUUCCACCUCUUGCCUUGCACGAAUGGGCUGCAUGGGCCUCUAGGAUUUAUUAGGAAUUUCUAAAAUUGCUAUUGGGCUAGGCCCAAAUAGACAAAAAUUCCAGCAAUCCCCCACCAGAUCCCAGAGGCACAAAAAAUUUGCCUUUGGUUCCAAAACACUGUUUUAUAUACUGGUACAGCAGUGGAGACUGUUAAGUUGAACUUCCACCUAGAACCCUAUGCUACACUAGUAAGCAACUUGAACAGUGGACUGGGCCUUGAACUGCAAGUUUUCUGCAAAUCUAGCUUCACAUAAAGCCUUGACCGAUACGUGGCUACCGUGGGUCUUCCCCGCGGGUGGAGCUUAUGCGUCAUACUCCAUGACCUUUCAUUAGUUUACUAGAGAGAACCCUACUCUCAUAGAUUGCGACGUUUAACAAUCAGACUCAUAUAGGUGCGUUCUUCAAAAGAUGUUCUGCAGGACAACAUCUCUGCUUCAAAAAGCCACUUAGAACACAUUAAGAUAUAAAUCAACCUGCCAUGCAGAUUAGGAGAGUAUUGCAUCUUCAUGGAGUGGUAUUUUAACAGUAUGGAUACUCUCCUCUCAGUUGACUAACAGCUUGUCUUCCACAUCUAAUUCACGGGAUCUCCGAUCAUAAAGAAUAGAUUACCACUGUGAACAACUCAUAUUGUGGGUCUCAUUCCCAUCUCCCUCGAUGCAUUAUCUAUCACAUUACGUGAUAGACCCUUAGUAAAAGGAUCUGCCAGAUUUUUAGACGUUUGGAUAUGAUCCAAUGCAAUAACUCUGGAGUUUUUCAUUUUUCUGACAGACUAACCUUCUCUGAACGUGUCUUGAUGACUUCAUGUUAUCCUUUGAGUUGCUCACUUUAGUGAUCACAGUUUGAUUGUCACAGUUCAUCCGGAUACCCGAUACAGGUUUCUCAACUACCGGUAAGUCAUUCAAGAGCAGACGAAGCCAAUCCGCUUCAACCGUACAUGUAUCUAGUGUUGUGAGUUCUACUUCCAUUGUUGACCUCGUUAGAUGGUCUGCUUGCAAGACUUCCAAGAAACAGCGCCACCUCCAUGAGUGAAUACAUAACCGCUCGUGGCCUUUAUCUCAUCAACAUCUGAGAUCCAGUUUGAGUUACUAUACCCUUCAAGCACCUUUGGAUGCCCAGUGUAGUGAAUUCCAUAAUUUGCAGUGCCUUUCAAAUAACGCAAAACUCUCUCUAGAGCUUUCCAAUGCACAUCUCCUGGUUUUGAGACAAACCGGCUUAGUUAGCUAACAGCAAAAGAGAUGUCAGGUCUCAUAGCACUGGCUAAGUACAUAAGCGAGCCAAUAAUCUGUGAAUAUUUCAAUUGGUCUCUAGCGAUUCUUCGAUUCUUUCGAAGCAACACACUAGCAUCAUAUGGUGUUGGAGAGGGCUUGCAGUCACUAUAGCCAAAGCGGCUCAAGAUCUUUUCCACAUAGUGAGAUUGAAGCAAUGUAAUCCCACCAUCAUCAUCUCUCAACAACUUGAUGUUCAGAAUGAGAUCAGCCACUCCUAAAUCCUUCAUCUCAAAACAGCAAGAUAGGAAAUCCUUGACCUCCUUAAGAACAUUCAGAUUUGUUCCGAAAAUCAGUAUGUCAUCAACAUACAAGCAAAGCAUAACUCCCUCGCCCCCACCAUGGCGAUAGUACACACAUUUGUCAGCUUCGUUCACAACAAAGCCUGCAGCUAUUAAAGUUCUUUCGAACUUCUCAUGCCACUGUUUGGGUGCUUGCUUGAGUCCAUACAAAGACUUCAGCAACUUGCACACUUUCCCUUCCUGGCCAUCUAUUACAAACCCCUCUGGUUGUUCCAUAUAAAUUUCCUCAUCCAAAUCUCCAUUUAGGAAAGCAGUCUUAACAUCCAUUUGAUGAACGAGAAGACCAUGUGAGGUAGCUAGUGAAAGUAGACCUCGAAUAGUGGUCAGUCGAGCCACAGGUGAGUAAGUAUCAAAGAAGUCUUCACCUUCCUUUUGGGUAUAACCCUUUUCCAUGAGCCAAGCCUUGUACUUUUCAUUAGUACCAUCAGGCCUAAGUUUCUUCUUGAAUACCCAUUUGCAUCCUAUAGGUUUGCACCCAUAAGGACGAUCAGUUAUCUCCCAAGUUUCAUUCGCCAAGAUGGAGUCCAUCUCGCUACGAAUCGCUUCCUUCCAGUAGUCAGCAUCUUCCGAUGCAUAGGCAUCCGAAAUAGAACUGGGAGUGUCAUCUAUGAGAUACACAAGAAAAUCAUCAGCAAAGGACUUUGCUGUCCUCUGUCUCUUGCUCCUAGUAGGAACUUCAUUGUUCUCCUCCGCAGGACUUUCAAAGUGUUCCAUCGAAAUGGCAGGUUCAGUAAUUGUAACUGGUUCCUGAUUCGAUGAACUAGGCAUCUCCUAAUUAGAUGAGGUAGCCAUAUCCUUCAUGGGAAUGAUAUCUUCAAAGAAAGUCGCAUCAUUCGACUCCAUGAUCGUACCGACAUGCAUGUCAGAUACCUCAGAUUUUACAACCAAGAAUCUAUAGCCAAUGCUGUGAAAAGCAUAUCCCAGGAAAACACAAUCAACAGUCUUUGGUCCAAGCUUCCGCUUCUUUGGAAUUGGAACAUUGACUUUCGCCAAGCAACCCCAUGUUCGCAGAUAAGAGAGUUUUAACCUUUUCUUCUCCCAUUCCUCGAAUGGAGUUAUCUCUUUGUUCUUUGUGGGGACUCGAUUUAGGACAUGACAUGCUGUCAAUAUCGCCUCCCCCCACCAUGCCUUGGAGAGACCCGAUGUGGCGUUAACCAAAUCAGUUAGAGUACGGUUCUUUCUUUCGGCCACCCCAUUUGACUGAGGUGAGUAGGGAUGCGUCCUCUCAUGGAUUAUACCUUGUUCUGCACAAAAAGCAUCAAAUUCAUUGGAAAAAUACUCUCCACCACGGUCAGACCUAAGCCUCUUGAUUUUUCGAUCAAGUUGGUUUUCCACUUCAGCUUUAUAGAUCUUGAAAAAGUUCAAAUCCUCAUCCUUACAUUUCAGAAGAUACACAUGGCAGUAUCUAGUGGAGUCGUUAAUUAACGUCAUGAAAUAUUUCUUUCCACGUUUUGUCAAAACACCAUUCAUUUCACAUAGAUCUGAAUGUAUAAGUUCUAGUGGUGCAAGAUUUCUCGUCUCCGCAGUCAUGUGAGACUUACGAGGUUGCUUAGCUUGCACACACACUUGACACUUAGAUCCCUUGACAGUGGUGAAACUAGGGAUUAAGUUCAACUUCGCUAGCCGCGACAUGCAACCAAAGUUAACAUGACAAAGACGUGAAUGCCACACAUUUGAUUCACUAUUGUUGCAAAUAUGAUUAACAACUUUAUUGCAAAUGUCUGAUAAGGAUAAACGAAACAGGCUUCCUGACUCAUAGCCUUUGCCAACAAAAGUUCCAUACUGGGAUAUUACAAAUUUAUUCGACUCAAAUACAAGCUUAUAGCCAUCUCUACACAGAAGAGAUCCGCUAACAAGAUUGUUAUUGACGGAGGGGACAUAAUGCACGUUCUUCAGCCGCACGAUCUUCCCCGAAGUAAACUUCAGAUCGACCAUGCCAACACCACGAACAGAAGCACUUGAACCGUUGCCCAUCAGCACGGUUGAAGUCCCUGCGGUCUGAUCAGAUGAAAACAUGGAAAUAUCACUGCAUACAUGCACAUUAGCACCCAUGUCAAUCAACCAAUCAGGAGAAUGACAUACUGAAAGAAUAGUGGGAAAUAUACCAUACCCAGCAUCUUUCAUGUCAAUGUCUCCGAUGACAACAUUAGCGGUCUUGCCGCCUUUCCCAGGAUGACGCUUGUCAUAGAGAUUAGGACAAAUAGGAGCCCAAUGAUCAGGCUCUCCACACACAUGACAAGCACCUUUCUUCUUGUCAUUCUUCUUCUUGAAGUUCGUGUGCUGCACAGCCUUGUUCUUCCCAUCGAACUUUGCUUUACCAUCAAACUUGCCCUUGUUCUAGAACUUGUGGGACUGGAAGUUCUUCUUCUGUACUAGAUUGGCACUAGAUCCUCCCUCAAUACCUCGAGCACGUGUGUCCUUUGCUCUCGCCUUUUCUUCCACAUCAAGAGUACCAAUGAGUUCCGGGACGGAAAACUCCUGUCUCUUAUGCUUCAGUAAGGUAGCAAAGUUCCUCCACGAAGGAGGAAGCUUAGUGAUGAUACCCCCGGCAACAAACUUGUCCGGUAAGAUACAAUUGAAGUGCUCAAGUUCUCUAGCAAAGGACUGUAUCUCAUGAUCCUGCUCAACCACGGAGCGCUCUUCAGUCAUCAUGUAAUCAUAGAAUUGCUCCAUGAUGUACAAUUCAGUGCCGGCAUCCGAGACCCCAAACUUGGCCUCAAGUGCGUCCCACAUAUCUUUUCUAUUGUCAAUUGACGCAUAAGCAUCAACUAUGUUCUCACCAAGAACACUCAAAAGAGCAGCCUUAAACAAGGUAUCCAUUUUCAGAAAAGCUUGUGCCUGUUGGGCAUCUUGCUCUCCUUCAGGUUUGCCAAGAGUGGCGUCAUAGCAACUCAUGGUUUGAAACCAUAAGACUGCUCUCACGCGCCACCUCUUAUAGUGGAUACCCUCAAACAUACGAGCUCUCAUGGAAGCAGCAAAACCACUCGGGGUAAAUUGCCUAUAAUAAGGUUUUUGGAUUGUUGGAAAUAUGAGCAAUUUACCGAAUGAUUUUAUUAACAAAAAUACUAGAUAAAGCAUGACUAAAAUAGCAAAUAUAAAACAAGUCAUGCAGUCUGACAGAGAGAAGGUAAACAUCGUCUGCAUAUAUGAACUUGAGCUAAACACAUCUAGAACAUACACUAGAUGAAGUUGCUUAUACGAAACAGAACCUAACAUACGUAGGGCAGAAACUAGAGCCAAGAACUGUAGCAGGACUUCUAACAGAAAGGAGAAGAACACGUACGGCAUAGCAGCAGCAGAAGCGCUGGACUUCGGGUCGGUGUCCUCGCCUGCCAUGUCGUCGAGGAGGUCGUGGACGUCGGGGAAGAAGUCGUCGUCGGGGAAGUAGUCGUCGGCGACCGGAUCGUCCGUGAUGAAGCAGCCAGUAGUCGCGCUGAGCGCUCCCCAAAAACCUUAUCACCCUUCUCCCGUACAGGACUCAAAAGGUGCGGUCUCGGAGGCCUACUAUCCCGACGUGCGGUGCACGCCGCAAGUCGGGAUGAGGAAGACAGCAGCAGCUCAGAGAUGGAACCGAUGGCGAGGGAAGGAGCAGUUCUGGUGCGUCUCUCUGAGAGGAGCGACCUCCCUUUUAUAGGCGCAAGAGAAGGAGGCGAGAGGCUGCGCCGGGAGCUGAAGGGAAUGCGGGAGACGAAACGAACAUGCAGCAGCCGAAGGGGCGCGCCUUCGGAUUCAGUGUCCAGGCACAGAAAAAAAUGUUUCAGCUUCCGAGUGACCUUUCGUAUACCCGUAGUGCGUGGCAAAAAUUUAGACAUCGGCUCGGCUCAUUCCCGCAACCCGCGGCGCGGCAUGACGAGGCGUGGUGAGGCGGGCGGCGGAGGAGGAGCGCGCGUGGAUGUCCCUCUUGUUCUCAUGCUCAUACAAGUGGAGAAGGAGCCUCCCUUAUAAAGAGGUCCAACUCCCUCUAAACUAGCAAGGUGGGACUAAACUUUAGUUCCACCUCUUGCCUUGCACGAAUGGGCUGCGUGGUCCUCUAGGAUUUAUUAGGAAUUUCUGAAACUGCUAUUGUGCUAGGCCCAAAUAGACAAAAAUUCCAGCAGUUUGUGUUCUUCAGGUCUCCACUUGCCAUGAUAUUGCGGCUGGGCUUCGGGUAUGUGUUACCACUGAUACAUCAUUCCAAACUACUAAUGAAUUGGUCUCUGAUGUCUUCUUCUCAAUUUUAACUAGGGCCUGCUUCUGUUUGCACCAAUUCGAGAUAGUGGUUGUGGAAUGCAGCAGCCAAGACAACAAGGUCAGGCUCGGCUUAGGUAUGAUGACAAACAAAAUUAGAUUCGGAUGGUUCCUUACAUCUUCCUCUCAGAAUCAAGAGUGAUAAUACUUUUUUGGUGCUCCGGCUUCUGCAGUUUCUGAAGAACUGAUUCGUUGUUCAGGCAUUUCAUGCAUUUGGAGUUCACAGGUAUCUAAGUUUCUCUGACUGUGUUUUCAAAUAAUUGAUACUUGACAUUAGGAUUUUUGGCUGAACAAAUCAUCUUAGACAUAAGUAGAACCCGGCAAAUUGUGAGACAGAGCUAAUUGAUACACAGUUUAGAAAAUAGAACUGAACAAUUCUUGGUAGUCACUAUUGAUUAGCUAUGUGCGUACCUUAAGUUCCUUACUACUUAUUUUAAUUGUUAGUACUUGAAGGUUUGAAUAAUUAUUAUUACCAAGUUACAUGUUGAUCACUACUUAUUAUGAAAAUGUAUGUCCAUGGUUUAAAGGAGCUUUAUUGUUUCAGUCUAUACUAAGUUAUUUGUCGGUUAUACUGGAGCUUAUAUUGUUCCCUCUUUGAUCUAGACAUCAAAUAUUCUAAGCUUCAUUUUUGUGAGCAAACGGUUCUAUGCUUCCUUUUUGUGAACAUUGCUCCAUAAAUAGUAGUGGCAUUUACUAUGCAGAUGAUACUGACAAAUUAUCAUACAAGUCCGCAUUAAUAUUCAGUCAGUAGGUUAUUGAAGAAGGCCGGAGAUCGCGUGGAGCACCAACAAUAACCUCAAGUAGAUGCAGCAGAGACAUGUGAUGAACUAUCAUAUGUUUCCUAAUCUGAAUGUUUGCUCCAAUCGCUUGAUUGUUUGAUCUGGUUUGUUGUGACAAUACAAUGAUUUUCUAUGUUCUUUUUGUGGUGCAAUCUCCGUUGAUUUGGAAAGAUGGGGACUUUCUGUUGAGCUAUUUCGAUCGGCCAUUGGCCAUAACAUUCCAAAUUCCUUAUUUUGUUUCCUCUUUUUCGCGGCUUCAUUUUACGUGUCUCACUAAAGGUGGGCAUGACUUGAAAAGGGAGGCAAACAAAACUGCCAAGAUGCAUCUCUUUUGCAGCAGAAGAAGAGGCACUGAUGAGAGGUGGAAAAGGAGGGGCAAAGAAGGAAGCCAUGGGCAUGUGCCGCCUACCGACCAUGAAUAUCAACAAUGACAAUGACGACUAGCUUGUGUGCGUGUGAGAGAGGGAGGGAGAGGGAGUCAAAACAAAAUGAUGUAUAUCUUUACUACAUUAUAAAAUGGGAUUUGGUGAGCUAUUUGUCCUUUAUGAUUCAUGAGAUUUUAAUUCUAUAGUGUUUUUUGCUCUUAAUAUAUUAUUGUGGUUAUAGAUUUAUCAUUGACACAAUAUAUGUAGAAACUUUUUUGAUCUAAAUAAGAAGAACAAAAGUUUACGGGAUGCUUUUUGAUCGUUCCCUUUACCUAGCUUCCAAUUUCUAUUGUCAGAAACACAUUUUUUUUGUUCCUAUAGGAAACAUAUGCAAAUAAAAGAUUUGCCGAAGCUUUUUGAGUCCCUGAUGCAUACUAAAUACAGUCCUAGAACAAUAUGCUUAUGCAUAAUAACAAGCUGGAAAAUUGCUCCAAAAUAACACUUAAAACAUAUAAAAGAACAAAAAAAUCCAUUCUGAAUUCUAAAAUGAUCUUUCAAUGUAUGCAGCAAACUGCUUCCUUUAUAAUCUGACAAAACUCGCAGGACUUAUCAUGACGCAUGAAAGGAUAUAGUAAACCAUCACACCGAAGCCGAGGUUGGCUUUGUUUCCUUAUUUUUGCGAGAAGGUGUCAUAGUUCUACUAUUUUGAUUAGCCAUCUAGAGGGAUGACAGUGCAUGCAAUCAUUUAAAUAAAAUAAUACAAAGAUGCUGCAUGAGUCAUCAAUUCAAACAAGAACUUGUUUCAUGUGAUUUUUUGUGUAAAGUGGAAACAAAUUAUUUUUAUAACAACUAAUUCGACAACACAAGUGCUACACCGUGAUCAGUAUAUGCAUAUGAUACGAUCUAGCUAUUUUCCUUUGCACGGGUGGUUUUUAUCAUGAGGUAGGAGGGUUCGUACAAGUCGACUAUCAGCUCUCAUGCAAUGCUUUAAAAAGAAAAACGAGAGGAAUUUGUGAAUUUUUGUAUAACAUUGCAAAUUAUAUGAAAAAACUUUUUAAUUUGUCAGAACUUUUAGGAGGGAGUGAGUGGCAAAUGUUGGAAGACAUUCAAAGUUAGGAUGAUGGGAAUGCCUAUGGCAAUUUGGAGAACUUGGAGAAAACAUAUGCGAACUUGAGCUAGGUAGCAAUGUAGAGCUUAAUUAAGCUAAAUGGUUCAUAUUCAUUUGUUAGUCCAUGAGUUCGAGAUGAUGGACUCAACAAUUGGAUAGAUUUGGAGGGAACACGAAUUUGGAGUAGUGUGACAACAUAGCGAAGUAAUGACACAAUGGUCGAAGGGCUGAAGUUGAGGGGCUUGUGAUAGAUCCAUUUGUUGGCCCGUGGCUGCGCACGGGCGUUCUACUAGUAAUCAUUGGUGGCUUCUUUGACCACCAGACGGCUUAUUGACUUCUUCCACUCGAGGAUCACCGUGGAGCAAUCCUUCUUCCCCUUCCUACAGAAGCACGCCAACCACAAACAAAUGCUCAAAAAGACCUUAGCAAAUGCCAUUGAACUAGAUUGUAGGCAAGAGGAAUCUUAUUAGUUGGUAGAUGUAGAUGUCGAGGCCUCAUCAUUGCUUGCCAGAGGCCUCAUGUGUAUGUCGUGCGUCCCACCAGAGGCCUCUUUUAAUUAGAGGAAGGGCGGUGCGGAGAAGACAUCAUUAGUCACCCUGGGAGAAGAAAGUUCGGUGGCGGUGCGUGUAAAGAGGAGACUUUGGUAGUUUCUGGUGGAGUUGUGGUAGCCGUAGGGACGACGAGAGUGAGAGAGGACUGGGGACGGAGGAGAGGUGAUGGAUGGAAAAAAAUUGGGUGAUUGAGGACGAAAACCAAGAUGAAAANNNNNNNNNNNNNNNNNNNNNNNNNNNNNNNNNNNNNNNNNNNNNNNNNNNNNNNNNNNNNNNNNNNNNNNNNNNNNNNNNNNNNNNNNNNNNNNNNNNNNNNNNNNNNNNNNNNNNNNNNNNNNNNNNNNNNNNNNNNNNNNNNNNNNNNNNNNNNNNNNNNNNNNNNNNNNNNNNNNNNNNNNNNNNNNNNNNNNNNNNNNNNNNNNNNNNNNNNNACUAGAUGUCUCUGUAGUGAAGUAAUAUGAGCAUAACUUAAUUGAUCAGUGUAAAACUUUGAAUUGGUUAAGUAUACUACACUAAAGUAAGUUGUAAAGCCUAAUUGCAAUUAUAUCUUUGAGGGCAAUGCUUAUGAGUUGCGUGACAAUCUUGUCUGUUCUGGAUCUUGCAUCUGAUUCUAAUUAAACAGUACAUGUUAGAUGUUUUUAAUGAGGUCCACGUUAGAUUUGAUUGUUAAUUUAUAGUGCGGGUGAAAGCGGAUUCUAUCCUUUUCGUCUGCCAUUUUUCCUUUCAUAAAAUGUGUCCAUGGAGUAAUUCUCCACAAAAACAAACUUAACUGGACAAAAUAUCCACGGCAAGUCGCAUAUCUUGUGCAACUGUUCACUGUUGAAAGCUUAUUGUGCCACUACCCAUCAUUGCAAGGAAAAAAUACAGAAGAUUUAUGUUCUACCAAAUACAUUCUUUUGUUCAGAUUUAGCCAGGUAUGAUCCUGGUUGCGUCAGCCAUUAGAGUACAUUGCGAUCGACUAGACAGUUUCAGUGCUCAUCUUGCCUACUUUUGCAGCACUAGAUUUGCGAUCAGGUAGAUAAACACAACAACAAAGGAGACGACAGAUGCCAGCGGCCCAUAUUUCCCAAGAAUUCUCUGUGGGUUAAUUCCAUAAUACGGAUUGAAUUCUCUACUGGCACGGAAUCCAGCAACAAGGGCCACACCAUGCUGACACUAGCAGCUAUGUGUUGCUCCCGUGGGCAAGACCUGCCCAAGGAGGAUAGGUAAGAGAAAUGGCUGAAGACACACCAACACCUGGCAACAUGUAGGUUCAUAUUUCACCCCCACCCUUGGAUAAAACCGUGAAUCAUUUGAAACAUAUUAAAACUUGAGUGCAUUUUUUAUUUUGGAGAAAUAUAUAUGCUCACAAGAGCUUAGGAGUCACACGUCGGUUCUAGGUAAUUAAACAAACAAGAACAUUCACUUGUUGAGAAAUUUUACCACCUCUUCUUGCUUCUUUUAUGACACUAGAACUUGACGGGCUUUGGGUCACCUCCUUUUCGGUUUAUAAGGCUUGCGCGUAUCUCUAGGUUGACAAAUAGACCAACUUAAUACAAGUUGUAUAUCACAAAAAAUAUAUAAUUAGGAACUUCAAAUCGUAUACUUUCUAAUGGUAUAAUUUUUAGACUAUACAACUCAUGUUAUGUUGGUCAAGUUAUAGAUCCAGGGAUAUGUACAAGCCUUAUAAACCGGAAAGGAGGUAUGUUAGUAGAUAAACAUGCCAAUUAAGGACUUCUUGACAAGUCUAUGCAGAUUAAAGGUAUGUUAGUAGAUGGUGUAAUAAAUACAUGCUUUUAGCUAUCUAAGGAUACAAAUAUGCCACUAUUUACUUUGUAAAUGCUCGAAAUCAUUCUCAGAAAUUUUAGUAACAACAGUUGUCAUGAACAACUUGGACUAAAUGCAUCAAAUGUUACAAAUAAUACAUAAAAACAUUCAAAUGUACUUAGAGUGAAUCAAUUAAGACGUGUAAAGCUAGUACUAAUCCAAUAUUUCUUAAUGACUUGCAUAUACUUACAACACUUGACGUAAAGAGUGAAUCAAUUAAGACGUGCAAAGCCAGUACUAAUCCAAUUUUAUUAAUAGCUUCCACAAAAUUACAACACGUGGCGUAAAAAGGGAAUAUGAUGAGUCAUGUAUUGAUAACGUGUACAACAUUACUACCCUUGACAUAAAAAGAGAAGUUGAUGAGUCAUGUCUUAAUAACGUGUACAACAUUACUAUCAGCUUGUUCAUCUUACCAUCAUACUAUACAACACUAUAAGUUAGUUUAAAAAAGAAUAAGAGUCCAGAACAAACAUCACAAUACUAGCCUGAUCUAUAUUAACAACAUGCACAAGGACACAAAUUUAGUUCCCCGCAAGCUAUGAAGAUUUGGUUUAUGUCUAACAACUUGUACAAUAUGACAAACUUAGAUCCAAAAGGAAUGCAAACCAGAUAAUUGUAAUGCAAUCCAGAUAAUUAUUUGACAUGCAAAGUGAAUAAGAUGAGUCACUACCAAUUAUCAAGUUUUCCUCACUCUUAGAUGAUAUGAACCAUAAAAAGGCAACUUUGAUGAUCACUCCAUAAUUACGUUUGUAUGUAGUGCCACCAAACACAACACACAAAAUAAUUAGUUCGAUAAGCAUCGAAUCACUUUAAAAAGGAAAGCAAAAAUGGAAAGAAACCUAACCAUGGGAGCUAUAAAAAGGCCUGCAAUAUGUAGACUCCAUACCAUCAUCCAUCCUUCACACAACUAGAGCACAAGUAUCAAAUCCAAGUACGUAGUGGUUAACGCAAAUUAACCAUGAAGACCUUACUCAUCCUAACAAUCCUUGUGAUGGCAGUAACCAUCGGCACCGCCAAUAUGCAGGUCGACCCUAGCGGCCAAGUACAAUGGCCACAACAACAACCAGUCCUGCUGCCUCAGCAACCAUUCUCCCAGCAACCACAACAAACAUUUCCCCAACCCCAACAAACAUUCCCCCAUCAACCACAACAACAAUUUCCCCAGCCUCAACAACCACAACAACAAUUUCUCCAGCCACAACAACCAUUCCCCCAACAACCACAACAACCAUAUCCCCAGCAACCACAACAACCAUUCCCCCAGACUCAACAACCCCAACAACUAUUUCCCCAGUCCCAGCAACCACAACAACCAUAUCCCCAGCAACCACAACAACCAUUCCCCCAGACUCAACAACCCCAACAACAAUUUCCCCAAUCCCAGCAACCACAAUAACCAUUUCCCCAACCCCAACAACCGCAACAAUCAUUCCCCCAGCAACAACCAUCGUUCAUUCAGCCAUCUCUACAACAACAGCUGAACCCAUGCAAGAAUUUACUCUUGCAGCAAUGCAGACCUGUGUCAUUGGUCUCAUCCCUCUGGUCAAUGAUCUGGCCACAAAGCGCUUGCCAAGUGAUGAGGCAACAAUGCUGCCAACAACUAGCACAGAUUCCUCAGCAGCUCCAGUGUGCAGCCAUCCAUAGCGUCGUGCAUUCCAUCAGCAUGUAGCAAGAACAACAACAACAACAACAACAACAACAACAACAACAACAACAACAACAACAACAACAACAACAACAACAACAACAACAACAACAACAACAACAAGGCAUGCGUAUCCUGCUGCCACUAUAUCAGCAACAACAGGUGGGUCAAGGUACUCUCGUCCAGGGCCAGGGCAUCAUCCAACCCCAACAACCAGCUCAAUUGGAGGCGAUCAGGUCAUUGGUGUUGCAAACUCUUCCAACCAUGUGCAACGUGUAUGUCCCACCUGAGUGCUCUAUCAUCAAGGCACCAUUUGCCAGCAUAGUCACCGGAAUUGGUGGCCAAUGAAAAACGCAAGAGCCAUACUAAUAGGUAGAUGGAUCAUCGUUGCUUAGCUGAUUUACCAAUCGAUGUAACGAUGCCAAAUAAACUGGUGUGCACCAUCAUGUGUCAUCCUGACCAGUGCUAGUUCAAGAUUGGGAAUAAAAGAGAAGAACGUUCAUGUUUGCCAACAUUGCUUGUCAUUGUUCCAUUCACUGUGUAUUUAUAUUUUCAUCCUGAACUGCAAUUCUAGUCUUACACAUCAAUAGCUAGUUGCUCAUGUCGGCAGGUUCCUAUGUAAUCUAAUGAUUAAUGGUCGACCUAUUAAUCUAGUUUAUCGGCCGAUUGAUCUAUUAAUUGGUGCUCCCAAGCCGACCGAGCAGCCAUCAGUUACCGAUUUCCUGAACAUUGCACACAAUAAUAAUUCAACGUAUUUCAAUGUCUAGAAGUAAAAGGGCCAUAUAAGCAGUAAAACAAGCGCCUGAUUAGAAACCAUCCAUCACUUUAAAUUAAUCUAGAUAUUUUUGUGUUGGUGCAAUUUUGAGUUGAUGGCACCGACACAUUCUUGAAAGAAAUUCUACAGGGAACUCCAAAGAGGUGAAAAUCAAACUAAAGUUGCCACAUGGUAAAAGAUAAAUCAUGCGGCAAGCAAGAGGAAAUAUUGAGUCACAAUAGCUAGCGCCAAACAUGUAAUUAAACUAUUCUUAUGGUUUCUUGCAAAGAGGGAAGUAAUUUACAGAUGACAAACAAAACGUAAUUAGCAUUAGUUCUAAUUGAUUGUAGAAAUUUCUUUUAUCGGUAGAAUAACUCAGUUGUUAUUUAUUUAAACAUGCACUGUGAUAUUGACUUAUCUCAAUCUAGGAACACAAAGCAAAUACUACAUUUGCUGCUAUGGACUCCAAACAGAUGAGAAAUCAUUAUGUGUAGAAGUUCCUUAGAAGGAUAUUUUGGCCUAAACAAAUUUAACAUUGUACUCGUGUCUUACAUAGUUAAAGCUGAAAAAUCAACAUAACCAGUGGACACUUUGUAAGACAAGUGUGGGAAACAAAUAGUAGGAUAUAAAUUUGAGUAGAAUGUUUGCUCAAAUGUUGAAAAAAUAACCCAGCAAACUAAAACUCAGCAAAACAGUCUAUUCUACCUUAUACGGACUGUCACAAUGAUAAUGCUAUGUUUUUUUGGAAUACAAAUUCAAAAAAAAUCAGCCACAGAUCCCUGAGCCCAUCCAACAGGAGAGCUUCAAUUGAAAGAAGUAUUAGUUCGAUUAGACCAUGUAGUACCUAAAGGAGGAUGGUGGCCCCAUGGAACAACUCCAGCCUUUCCAUUGUGUCCGGGCGCAAUGCGAUAAUGGAGUUAUGGUCAUUGGUGGCUUCGCUGGCCAUAGACGGCUUAUUGACUUCUUCCACUUGAGGAUCACCGUGAACCAGUCCUUCUUCCCCAUCCUACAUAAGCAUGCCAACCACAAAUAAAUGCUCAAAAAGACCAUCUUAAAUGUCAUUGAACCGGAUUAUGGGAGGCAGAAUCUUAUGACUCGGUGGAUGCAGAUAUCGAGGCCUCAUUUGUAUGUUGUGCCUCCCACCAGAGGUGUCUUCUAAUUAGAGUGGUGCGAGAAGACAAUAUAAGCCACCGUGCAAGCGAAACAAUUAGGAGGCACUGCUUGUAAAGCGGAGAAUUUGGCACUGUCUGGUGGCAUUGCGGUAGCCGCAGGGUGGAAGAGAGAGAGGGAGGGAGGGAGGGAGGAUGAAUCGGAAAACCAGGAGCAGGGGUGAUCAACGAUGAAAACCAAGAUGAAAAAACAAUGUGCAAGAGAGGAAGAGGAAUAGGCUAGCUAUUUCUGUAGUGAAGUAAUAUGAGCAUAACUUAACCCAUAGGUGUGGAACUUGGAUUCGGUUGAAGUAUAUACUAUACUAAAGUAAGCUGACUAAUUGCAAUUUAAAUCUUUGGUGGCAAUGCUUAUGAGUUGUGAGGCCAUCUUGACUAUUCUGGAUCUUGCAUAUGAUUCUAAUUAAACAGUAUAUGUCAGAUGUUUUUAAAGAGGCACACAUUAUAUUUGAUUGUUGAUUUACACAUUCUAAUUAAACAUUAUAUGUCAGAUGUUUCUAAUGAGGCCCACGUUAGAUUUGUAUGUUGAUUUACAAAGGGAUUGAUAAGUUGAUUCUAUCCUUUUUCCUCUGCCAUUCUUCCUUUCAUAAAAUGUGUCCAUCGAGUAAUUAUCCACAAUAACAAACAUGACUAGACAAAAUAUCCACGACAAGUUGCAUAUCUUGUGCAACUGUUCACUGGUGAAAGGCUAUUGUGCCACUAUCCAUCAUUGCAAGGAAAAAACACAAAAGAUUUAUGUUCUAUCAAAUAUAUUAUUUUGUUUGGAUUUAGCCAGGUAAGAUCCUGGUUGCGUCGGCCAUUAGAGUACCUUGCGAUCGACUAGACAGUUUCAGCAUAUCUUCUUGCCUCCUUUUGCAUCACUAGAUUUCGAUGGGCUUGCGAACAGGAAGAUAAACACGGCAACAAAGGAGACGAGAGAUGCCAGUGAUCCAUAUUUCCAAAUAAUUCUCUGCAAGUGAAUUCCAAAGAAUGCAUUGAAUUUUGUGCUGGCGUAGAAUCCAGCAGCAAGGGAAACACCAUGCUGACGCUAGGAGCUACGUGCUGCUACCGCGAGCUCCCAUGGCAAGACCUGCCCAGGGAGGACCGGCAAGAGAAACGGCUGAAGACACACCAAGACCCGGCAACAUGUAGGUUCAUAUUUCACCCCCACCCUCAGAUAAAAAUGUGAAUCAUUUCAAACAUAUUAAAACUUGAGUGGAUUUUUUUAUUUCGGAAAAAUAUGCCCACAAGAGCUCAGGAGUCAACGUCAGUUCUAGGUAAUUAAACAAACAAGAAGAUUGACUUGUUGAGCAAUUUUACUACAUUUUCUUGCUUCCUUUUACGACACUAGAACUUGAUGGACUUCCGGUCAGCUAGAUAAACAUGCCAAUAAAGGACUUCUUGACAAGUCUGUGCAGAUUAAAGGUAUGUUAGUAGGUGGUGUAAUAACACAUGAUUUUAGCUAUCUAAGGAUACAAAUAUGCCACUAUUUAUUUUGUAAAUGCUGGAAAUCAUUGUCGGAAAUCUUAGUAACAACAGUUGUCAUGAACAACUUCGACUAAAUGCAUCAAAUGUUAGGAAUAAUACAUACUAACUUAGUUCAAUAAAUUAACCUAUUGAAGCAAGAAAAGAAACCUUGAAAUGUACUUAGAGUGAAUCAAUUAAGACAUGCAAAGCCAGUACUAAUCCAGUUUUAUUAAUAACUUCCACAAAAUUACAACACGUGACGUAAAAAGGGAAUAUGAUAGGUCAUGUAUUGAUAACGUGUACAACAUUACUACCCUUGACAUAAAAAGAGAAGUUGAUGAGUCAUGUCUCAAUAACGUGUACAACAUUACUAUCAGCUUGUUCAUCUUACCAUCAUACUAUACAACACUACGAGUUAGUUUAAAAAGGAAUAAGAGUUCAGAAUGAACAUGACAGUACUAGCCUAAUCUAUCUUAACAACAUGCACAAGGACACAAAGUUUGUCUGCCACAAGAUAUGAAGAUUUGGUUUAUGUCUAACAACUUGUAUAACAUGACAAACUUAGAUCCAAAGGGAACACAAUCCAUAUAAUUGUUUGACAUGUAAAGUGAAUAAGAUGAGUCAGUGCCAAUUAUCAAGUUUUCCUCACUCUUAGAUAAUAUGAGUAGCAAAAAGGCAACUUUGAUGAUCACUCCAAAAUUACGAUUGUAUGCCGUGCCACCAAACACAACACACCAAAAAAUUAGUUCGAUAAGCAUUGAAUCACUUUAAAAAAGGAAAGCAGUGAUGAAAAGAAACCUAGCCAUGGUGGCUAUAAAAAGGCCUGCAAUAUGUGAGCUCCAUACCAUCAUCCAUCCUUCACACAACUAGAGCACAAGCAUCAAAUCCAAGUAGGUAGUAGUUAACGCAAAUCCACCAUGAAGACCUUACUCAUCCUGACAAUCCUUGCGAUGGCAAUAACCAUCGCCACCGCCAAUAUGCAGGCCGACCCUAGCGGCCAAGUACAAUGGCCGCAACAACAACCAUUCCUGCAGCCUCACCAACCAUUCUCCCAGCAACCACAACAAAUAUUUCCCCAACCCCAACAAACAUUCCCCCAUCAACCACAACAACAAUUUCCCCAGCCUCAGCAACCACAACAACAAUUUCUCCAGCCCCGACAACCAUUCCCCCAACAACCACAACAACCAUAUCCCCAGCAACCACAACAACCGUUCCCCCAGACUCAACAACCCCAACAACCAUUUCCCCAGUCCAAGCAACCACAACAACCUUUUCCCCAGCCCCAACAACCGCAACAAUCAUUCCCCCAACAACAACCAUCGUUGAUUCAACAAUCUCUACAACAACAGUUGAACCCAUGCAAGAAUUUCCUCUUGCAGCAAUGCAAACCUGUGUCCUUGGUGUCAUCCCUCUGGUCAAUCAUCUUGCCACCAAGCGAUUGCCAGGUGAUGCGGCAACAAUGUUGUCAACAACUAGCACAAAUUCCUCAGCAACUCCAGUGUGCAGCCAUCCAUAGCGUCGUGCAUUCCAUCAUCAUGCAGCAAGAACAACAAGAACAACUACAGGGUGUGCAAAUCCUGGUGCCACUGUCUCAACAGCAACAGGUGGGUCAAGGUAUUCUCGUCCAGGGUCAAGGCAUCAUCCAACCUCAACAACCAGCUCAAUUGGAGGUGAUCAGGUCAUUGGUGUUGCAAACUCUUCCAACCAUGUGCAACGUGUAUGUCCCACCUUACUGCUCCACCAUCAGGGCACCAUUUGCUAGCAUAGUCGCCAGCAUUGGUGGCCAAUGAAAAAAAACAAGAGCUAUUCUAAAAGUUAGAUGGCCAUCGUUGCUUAGCUUAUGCACCAAUCGAUGUAACGAUGACAAAUAAAGUGGCGUGCACCAUCAUGUGUGAUCCUGACCAAGUGCUAGUUCAAGAUUGGAAAUAAAAGACAAACUCAGUCCUUGUUUGCCAGCAUUGCCUGUCAUUGUUCCAUUCCAUGUGUAUUUAGAUGUCUGUCCCUAAUCAUAAUUCUAGCCUUGCACAUCAUUAGCUAGUUGCUCGUGUGGUUGUUGACAUGUUAAUCUAGUUAAUAGGCUGAUUGAUCUAUUAGUUGUUGCUCGCAAGUUGAUCGAGCAGCUAUCAGUUGGCAAUUUCCUGAACAAUGCAUACAAUAAUAUUUCAACGUAUUUCAAUUUCUAGAAGUAAAGGGUCAUUUCAGCAGAAAAACAAGUGCG